rnacentral:lncRNA from 1 species
UAAGACAUUUCGUUUCGCUCACCUCAAUAUGCAGCAAAUGCAGAAGUCCAAGACCUCUUACUUUCCAAUAUAUUACCUGUCUCAAUGAACUUAGACAUGGUCAUGUAACCAAUGUUAUGAUCUGAAGAUUUUUCCUACUUCUAGGAAGUUCAAUUUUAUAGGUGAAUUUUAAAAACUUAUCCGGCGGAUAUGCAGAUAAGUAUCCAAUAAAAUAACCAUCUUAUAAUGAAUCCACACUGAGAUGAUCUCCUAUGGUUAAUUUCUGGCUUUUUUACGGAUUUAAGAAAAAGGAUUGAGGAACCAUCUUAACCCAAAAUACUUUAAUGAUCAGAAGAAUUUAAAUACAUCCAAGAAGGCAUAGGCCCAUAUAUAACUAAGUAGACACUUGGAUUUUACUUGAGAAGAUCGGUUUUAAAAAAUAAACCCAGUCGCCUAGUGAAUCAGUCCUUAUGCUCUUGGUCUAGAGCCAGAAAGUUUAUGCUGAACAUACAGAAAGGAAAAUUUUUUGGGGGGAACAAACACUUGCUCCUUACGCCAAAACCAUCCCAAAUAAAAAUGACGUGUUUGGGAUAGUCGAGAAGCCUAAGCAAAGUCUACCGACCAGAUUGUACUAGAGCCUAUGACAGCAAUACGCAACAAGAGAGUAAUACACACCAUUGCACAAUAUUCAACCACUGUAACAUGAACAACUGUAAGUUAGAAUAUAUAAUUAUGCUCCCCUUAGCCGUUUGCACCAAAACCCUUUUUUUAAACCCUUGAUUCCGACGUCCCUCUACAUCAACAAAGUGCUAGCUAAUGCAAUUUCUCCUUCGCUUACUUCUAUGACCAAUCAUAAUUCACCAUUGUCCAACUACUUCACUCUGCACUCCCCCUAAAUUACUGGGAAUCACACAUCACUGUUUUCCAUUUUCCUUGAUCCCUUUAAUACCUAAUCUUUGGUCUUUUCUGUCCCUAUUCGGUAUCCCAAUUCACAAGAUGGACUACCUCGUAACCCAAGACCCCUCAAGCCUUCUACAGAAAAACAGUUCAGAUCGCCUUCAAUCUAUUUGCACUGAAUUUGAAAAUAAAAUACACAAGUUGAAAAAAGUAUGUCUUUGACAGGGUCAUUUCUGACAUCAGACAAAAUAGAAACUUUCUUCCAAAAAGAAAUCCAAAAAUUCAACGAAACGCAGAACUAAAAACCAUUUUCUUCUGAAAUGUUCAGUUAUAUGGAAUAAGGCCUAACUUCGAGCUUAUAAACUGUGAAAUAAUUCUAACAUCUGCACUUAAAAAGGCAUAUCAGCUUAAUUCUACUAUCAUAUAAGAAUAUUUCCUUGGUCAAAUGGAAUAAAGAUAUGCUGCCGAUGUGCAAAGAAUGCCACAAUGAUGGGUCCACCAAAGCUCUGCUGCAUACAUGCACCAUCCUGUACUGGUCUGGUGAAUAACGCAUCUAGGAAAUCUAUCACCAAGAGUCAGAAAGAUUUCUCUUUUCAAACAAAGGUCUUUAGAACCUUGUGAAAGAGGAGGCACCUAUAUUCAGGAUGGGUUUGAUUAUACUCAUUCUUUGCAAUUCUAGGAAUCCAUCUUGGAUUAACAUAUUAGAAGAAAUUUAAGCAUAUUAUAUUAUCAUAGUCACGAUGAUCCUUACAUGACUCUUUAUUAUGAUUGUCAAUGAUUUUCGAAAAAACACCAAUAGCACAAAUAAUUAACAUUCCAUGAGUCAAGAAAGUAUCUUUGAUUUCCAUAUCAUGAUCACAAGGCCCUUCAACAGUACCAUAAUUAGAUUCAACGAUCAAUUUAUCAGGAAUAUCGAGGAAGUUUUAUGCUUUUCCUCUUGUUUUAAAUACUAACCAAUCAAUUUACAAAGGAUGAUUAAUGAAGAAGAAGGGGAUAUCCUUACCUCCUUAUAAAUAUCUGUUGAAUUGUAGGAAACAAUAUCCAGAUUCAUUCUAAGGACAGGUUCCUUACAAUUCCACUAGAGUAGAGAUGAUCACGUCCUCAUCAUAUCAGAAGGCACAAUGAUUUAACAGAAAAACUCAUGCCCUAUAUCUAAAUAAUAUUCCAUAUGACAUCCAAUGAUCAAACAACUAAAACUAACCCACCUUGUCAAAAAUACAGAAAGCGGGCAGCUCCAGCAAGGACACAAAUAUCAUUGUGAAGGAAAAGACUAAGCAUGGCAUAUGAAAACAAGAAGUAAAGACAUGAAUUAACGGUUACGCCAAUGGAGGAGGUCAUACAACUUUGAAAUCAAUCAUCUAAAAAGUUAAAAAAAAGGGCAGUUAAUAGUUAUUUCCUUCACAAGUCAUAUUUUUUAAGUUAUCUAUGAGCACAAACUUCUUUUCCAAUGUCUAUCUAACUGCUAUAGUUUGAACAUUUAUGCCACACAAAUGCCGAACAUCUAUCUUUUAUUCUUCGGUGAAUAUAGAACAAGUUGUAUCUAUGCCUUCAAUAAACACCCAACCUCAAACAUCUGAUCAAUCAUUCUACGCAACCUGCCAUCUCCAAGGUCAAGGUCCUAUGGAGGAGAUGGCCAAUCAAACUUUUGCUGACCUGGUACAAGUAGGGAUGGCAAUCGGGUCGAGUCAGACAUAAUCGGGUCGAGUCAGAAUAAACGGGUCGGGUCAGAUGUUAAACGGGUCAGAAAAGUAUAAAUCUGAACCCGACCUGUUUAAUAAACAGGUCACCCGACCCGACCCGUUUAACCUGUUUAUUAAACAAUCGAUUAAACAGGUCGGGUUGGUUUAUGCUUACCCGUUUAACUAAAUAUUACUGUAAAUAACCAGAAAUAAAAUACUCAAAAUAAAAAAGGACCUUUUUUCGCCCGCUACCUUCUCGGCUUCUCCCGACCCAUCUGCCGCUCCCCAUCGCCGCCGACCGCUGCCUUCUCCCGACUCGUCCGCCGCUCCCCAUCGCCGCCGCCCGUUGCCUUCUCCUGACCCAUCCGCCGCUCCCCAUCGCCGCAGCCCGCUGCCUUCUCCCGACCCAUCCGCCGCUCCCCAUCGUCGUCGCCCGCUGCUUUCUUCCGACCCAUCCGCUACUCCCCAUCGUCGCUGCCCGCUGCCUUCUCCCGACCCAUCCGCUGCUCCCCAUCGCCGCCUUGUCCACAGCAGCGCGGCUGGUCCCAGCGCAGGCCCACUCCUCCCAAUCCGAGCUCCCGUCUGCCCAGCCGAAGCGGAUGAGGACCUUCUCCAUCUACCACUGGAAGCCUGGAACCUCGACGAUCCCUCCACGCCUCGGCUCCAGAGCUACGAGAUCGAUCUUGCCGAGUAGAUGGAGACCGUCCUCCGGAUUGCGAAACCCUUGAGUUGCUACGCCGUUACCUCCAUCACAGUCCGUGGGCUUGCUUAGGUCCCUGCUGUGGUCGCCAUUGACGAGGAGGCGGAAGUAGUCGACAAGGGGGAGGAGAGGCGAGGGGAGGGUGGAGGCGAAGAAUCCGGAGAGGGCAGAGGCGGAGGUCCGGACGAGAGGCGAGGGGAGGGCGGAGGUGAAGAAUCCGGAGAGGGUGGAGGAGAGGGGAGACCGGGAGUCAGGAGUCGGAAGAGGGACACUGAGGGGUGAAAUUGAAAUAGAAUCGGGGAAAUCCCUAGGGAGAAAGGAGAAGUCGCGGUGAAAUUGGGCCGAGCAGCGUGCGGGCCUUUUUUGGGCCAAAAAUUUGAUCCACCUAUAUUAAACGGGUUAAACGGGUUAAACGGGUUAAGCGGGUCAGACAUCUAAAAUCCGUAUCCGACCUAAUUAAUAAACAGGUUAAACGGGUCAACCUGUUUACGAUCCGAACCUGUUUAGGCCAAACCUAAACCUGUUUAUGACGGAUCGAACACGGAUCGGGUUGGCGGGUCAGAUCAUAUUUUGCCACCCCUAGGUACAGAUCAGGUAGUGGGAUACCAUCCCAUAAGGACGUGAUCUAAGCAAAUAAAACCAAAAACUAAGCAAUGUAAAGGGGAUUCAUGUGAAAGAUAACUCAAGAAGUAUAUAGCUAGGAGCUUAACUAUCAAUAGCAAGUUCCUUGCAUUAGUGAGGGAAAGCCUUACAACUAGCACUUUUGGCAAAUGAUAUGGCACGCAAUAGGAAGCUGCUGGAUACUCCGUUUUUGAUGCAGUAGUCAUAUUUGUUACAUACGAUAUAUCCUUGCAUACUGCAUAUGGUCCAAGAACAUGUAUAAUACUCCUAACAAGUAUUUCUUUUUUUUAAAAAAAAAGUUAUUUGAUACUUCUCCAAUACAUUCUGAUACCUUCCAAAUACUCCCGAACUACCUUAGGAUGAGGGAAAAGUUUCUUUUUCUUCUUCUUUUCUUUUCUUGUUCUUUUUGACAAACAUGAUAGAUCUCCUAAGACAACUCAUCUUUUAGAAUUUUCCUUUUUGUUGAAUAUCUUUUUAUGAAGCAUGAACAUGAUAUUCUGAUAACUUAGUAUACUUAAAUACUAUCAUGUACUAGCCAUGGAAUAUCCAUAUCCCAUACAUGUGUCUGCACUUCAUCGGACACAUACGUAGCACUCAAAGUUGACAGACUUUGCUUAGAGGUUGAAGCUAUAAAACCUUAUGUUCAAGAGAAAUUGCUUAUGGAUUUUGGCGAGAAAUACACUACUUUCAAAACAAUUAUUAUAUGAUACUAAAACAAAACUACCAUGUGAUACAGGACAGUAGACUCUACAAUUAUAAAUAGUAAUUAGUGUAAACAGCAGAUACCAGGCUUUUUUAGCCUAAUGGUUCAUGGAGUAGUUUCAAAAGCAUUAUUUUUAUACAUUCCUAUCCCCAUAACUCAACGCCUCUCUUGGAUGGCUUUAUAGAUUUUUUGUUCUCUUGCAGUCCAGAGUAAAACAGAUUCGUUCAGAAGCUACAUAUUUCAAUACAAAAUCUUGCUCAAAUUUAUGCCUGACAAUCAAAUUCAAGCUUUCCCUAUAGACACAAAUCAUAAAUUUUAUUUUUCCAUUAAGUAUGAAUUUGUUAGCAUGUCCAAAGACUAAAAGGCCUCAUAUUCAACCAGGAAAUAUCACAAAGCACUAACAUACUGAUAUCAUAAAAUUAAACUCCGUAAUCAUAAAACAAAGGCAACCAUUAUAGCUCACAAACAACAUAUGAUGACUAUCAUGGAUUCACAGUUCUCAAGCAGUAUAGUACUGAACAGCAGUAAAACAAGACCACAAAAAAUAGAAAAUUUCUUCAUCCUUGUUCUGAACUUUCAAUAACUGAUUCACAUGAAGUAUAUCUUAUUUCCCUGUUUAUUCUUCAUAUGAACCCAAAUUCAUUACAAAAUUCAAAAUUGUUCGAGCUACUAGCAGAGUCCGCUAUUUAUAAUUUUGCAAUAUUCAAGUCAUCAACUUUCCACCCAAAACAAAGAAGUAGAAGAAUAUGGAGAUAAGAUGAACCUUUUUAAGGGAAUCCAUUAAAGGCUAGCAGCCGGCGGGGCCGGGACCACGAAAUCAACGACGAUGAGGCUCUCAAGCAGCGGCCUCACCUUUUCCUUAUGCGCCUCCACAGCCUCAUUCCCUUCCCCGUCCAUUGCAUCGAGCUCCUCCAACCCCGGGAACACCGAUAGAAACUCCACGGAGUACCCCUUGGCCCUCGCCGGCGAGAAGUUCUCCCCGUAGCUCACCUGCCAGGCAGACGGGGCGGCCCCUUUGGCCCCUUGGAUCGCGGUCAGGAGCUCCGCCGCCGCCUCCCCCUCCUUGGGCUUCGCCAGGGUCAGCCGCAUCGCUGACCCCGGUGGCGGCGCCGGUCCGUCGAGGUCAGCGACCCAGUCGACGGCCAUGAUGUUGUCACAAAUGGGGAGGACGUGUUCCUUGACGACUGCCUGGUGAGCGGGGUGGGCGGAGUAGGCGGCGAGGUCGGGCUUGGAGCGGUAGCGGCUGUGAAGGAGGUGGGUGAAGCCGGCGGCGGAGGCAGCGGCGGAGCGGUUACGGAGGAUGGGCCCCGCGGCGAGGUGGGAGACGAUGUCGAGGGAGACAAGGGACCGGAGAUUGGAGAUCAUGGCGUCGAUCUUGGAGGGAUCGGUGGAAUCGCGGACCUUAAAGAGGACUACGUGCUCAACAGUGGUACAGGCAGCGGCGGCCAUCUUUGUGGCGGCAGAGUAGGCGGCAGAGGCGGCGGACAAGGCGGCGGGGGCGGCGGAAAGGAUUAGGGAGGGGCGGGCCGGAGAGGGAGGUGAGAAUAAGGAAGGGGGGAAAGGCAGGAGGGGAAGAGAAGAGAUUUGAAGGGGGCGUAGGGGCGGUGAAGACACGGGAGGGUUUUCAGACUCAGCAUCUCGGUUCGAAGUGGCCUUCUCGUCGACUCAAGUGUGGGGCGUUCGUUGGAAAUUUGACGGCAAAGGUGGUGCAGGUUAGUGUGUGGAUGUUCCGCAGGGAUUGUAACUUCGUUUCGCUUUCCCAGAUGCACGAACCUGCUGGAUCCUUGCAGUUCAAUUUGCAGCAAGCAUGAGAGCUUUUUUGGUAAACAUUAUUGGGAGUUAGUGUAAAAAUCUUUAAUAAAAAAUUUUAAAAUUUAAUAGAGCAGCAUUUACCAUGCCUUGUGAAUGAUUGUGUGACGACAUUUCACCUAAAAAAAUCAUUUUGCUAAUGAAAAACAUUUAAUUAAAUUAAACACUUUUUGUAUUAUUUUUUUGUCAUCUUUGAGUGAAUGAAGAUGUUCUCUUUUUUUUUCCCUUCCGUAUUACUUCAUUUCGUUGGGACUAUUACAAUCUAAAAUUAUGCACAAUCUCGCCUAUUAUAAUGUAUAAUAUUGGAUAUCACAGCUACCACAUAUUGCAUGCACAAUUUUGGUAUAAUAUCACAGUUGUCAUAUAUUGCAUGUACAAUUUUAGUAUGAUAUCUCAGAUCAAUCUCCAAAAAUCAUAAAUCUUGGUAUGAUAUCACAGCUGCCACAUAUUUAAUGCACAAUUUUGGUACGAUAUUACAGAUCAAUCUCUCAAAAUUAUAAGAAUUAAUUGUCAUAUUCAAAAUUAAUAUUUAUAUUAAAUAAUAGAAUUUUGCUAUUGUAUUAUACUAUAUCUGAUCUCUAGUAUCUUUUCUAUAAUCAUGAAAAUUUAUUGUUGCAUUCUACUAAAUCUGGAGGGUCAAUUUGUAUAUAAAGCACAUCGGUGCUAUGAACAGAUAUGUCCAAUACAAAUUUUUUAUAGUAUCAAAGCAGGUUUUUUCUUGAUCAAUUAACCCCUCUUUCUUAGUCUCCUGUCAUCCUCUCGGUGUUUGUUUUCCUUAGCCCUCCAUUCUCUAUUUUAUAAUCAUGGCUUCUUCUAUUGUUAUUUCUAAUCCUAGUGCUGAUUUAACGUCAUCAUUCUUUCUUUACCACUCAAAUAGCCCAAGCACGAUACUGGUCUCUCAAGUCUUCACUGGUGAUAAUUAUCCUCUAUGGAGACAUGCCAUGAAGACUACUCUCUUAGCUAAGAAUAAAAUUAGCUUUAUUGAUGGCUCGCUUAAAAAGCCUAAUAAAAGUUCAGCAACACUUGAUGCAUGGCCACGUUGCAACACAAUGGUGCUUUUCUGAAUUUGGAACGCAGUCCAAAAAGAUCUUAUGAGUAGCAUAGUCUAUUUUGAAACUGCAAAAGAGGCAUGGGAAGAUCUAGAGAGGUGCUUUUUCUCAUGAUAAGGCUGCCCAAAUCUAUCGUAUCAAAUGUGAUAUCUCAAUGCAUAUUCAAAAUCAAUCAUCUGUUGCUUUUUAUUUUACCUACUCGACCUUCAUCCACUUCUAAUCAAGAUUCCAUCGAACCAGUUAAUCUUUUUGAAACAUUCGUCGAUCCACCUCCAAAACGCUCCACAAGGAUCUGACAUCAUCCCCAAUGGCUUUAAGAUUUUCAGUGCUCUCAACUUUCAUCCUUUUCUUGCCCAUACCAAAACAACCUUGUGACAGGUACUAAGUAUCUACUCCAAAAUUAUCUUUUCUUUGAUAAAUUCUCCAGCUCUCAUCGUGCUUUUCUAGCUUCUAUUUUCUCUUAUCAGAAAUCCAAGUUCUUUUCCUCAACAAUGAAACAUGCUCACUUGCUUGAUGCUAUGGUCGAUAAAAUUAAGGCCUUAAAGUUUAAUCACACUUGGACCGUGAUGCCACUUCCACCAAGCAAACAUACCAUCGGAUUCAAAUGGAUAUAUAAGAUCAAAUACAAGUCCGAUAGUAGUAUUGAAUGGUAUAAAGCAAGGCUUGUUGUUAAAGGCUACACUCGCGCUAAAAGUCUAGAUUACCAUGAAACAUUCGCUCCUAUUGCCAAAUUGGUCGCAGUUCGUUGUCUUAUUGCAAUUGCAGCCACCAAACAAUGGCAUCUGUAGUAGCUUGAUGUCAAUAUUGCCUUCCUCCAUUGUGAUUUACAUGAAAAAGUUUACAUGCAACUGCUACCAGAUUUUUCUCGAAAGGGGGACAAAAGAGAAUAGUUAGUCUGUCGCCUCAACAAAUUUUUAUAUCGUCUUAAACAAGCCUCUCGUAAUUGAUUUUUCAAAUUCUCCACUACACUACUUCUGGCUGAUUUCACUCAAUCAAUUAUCGAUCAUUCACUCUUUACCCUUAAAUCCAAAGGCAACAUCACCAUUAUGCUUGUUUAUGUUGAUGAUAUACUCAUUACUCGCAAUGAUCCUUCUUCCAUUGCUUCCAUUAAAUCUUUUCUCUAAGAUCAAUUUCGAAUUAAAGUUGUUGGCACACUUAAAUACUUUCAGGGCAUUGAAGUUGCACGUUCCAGUAAAAGUAUUUUUCUCUCUCAACAGAAAUAUACCUUAGAUAUUCUUAGAUGCAGUUGUUCUAGAUGCUAAACCAGAACACACCCGAUGGAGCAAAAUUUUAAGUUAUCACCUGAUGUUGGCGAACCUUUAUAUGAUCCAAGACCAUACAAACGCUUAAUAGGUCAUUUGAUCUAUCUCACAAUCACUCGUCUAUAUAUUACUUUUGUUGUCAAUCUUCUAAGUCAAUUUUUGCAGGCACCACGCCAACCCCAUAUGGAUGUUGCUUUUCAAGUCUUAAGAUACCUCAAAUCCUACUCUUGCUUUGGUAUCCUCAUGCAUGCUUUGAACAACUUUCAUCUCAGUGCUUAUUGUGAUGUUGAUUGGGCAACUUGUUCUACUACUCGCCGUUACAAGUUAUUGCUGUUUUUUUGGUAAUUAUCCUAUCUUUUGGCAAACAAAGAAACAAAGUACUAUUUUUCGCUCCACCACCAAAGCUGAGUAUCGAUCAAUGGCCUCUACCACUUGUAAAUUAGUCUAACUCAAAAUUCUACUCUCUAACUUGGUUAUUUACCACCCUCAACCUAUGUCUCUCUAUUGUGAUAACCAAGCAUCACUUCAUAUUACUACCAACCCUGUAUUUCAUGAGCGGACAAAAUAUACUGAAAUAGAUUGUCAUGUCAUUCGACAAAAACUACAAGCAGGCACAAUCCAUACCAAGUUUCUUCGAAGUGACAACCAGCGUGCUGAUAUUUUUACAAAGACUUUGGGUUGUGAUCAUUUUUUUAUCUGCUAAGCAAGUUAGGUAUUGUAGAUCUACACACACUAACUUGAGGGGGAGUAUUACAUCUUAGAAUUAUGCACAAUCUCGCCUAUUAUAGUAUAUACGAUAUUGGAUAUCAUAGCUGCCACAUAUUACAUACACAAGCUUGGUAUGAUAUUAUAGCUACCACAUAUUGUGUGCACAAUCUUAGUAUGAUAUCUCAGAUCGAUCUCUGAAAAUCAUGGGAUCUGAUUGUUAUAUUCAAAAUUAGUAUUUAUAUCAAAUUAUAGAAUUUUGCUAUUAUAUUAUACUAUAUCUGAUCUCUAGUAUAUUUUUCAUAAUCAUGAGAUUUUAUUAUUGUAUUCUACUAUACUGGGGGCUCAAUUUGUAUGUAAAGCACAUUAGUGCUAUGAACAGGACAAGCAAUUCAAAUCAUAUGUCCAAUACAAAUUCUUCAGUGGCUAGUCUUAUAUUAAACAAAUAUGUUGUAUAAUUCAGUUUUAAUUCUUAAGAGAGCAAGAUAUUUUCUGAAAUUAGGAUGUAUAUAUUAAAGAAAAAAAAUAAAACUUAUAAUCAAAUCAAAAAUCAUAAAGUUACAAUCGACUAUAUAACACGUUAUAGACAUUGUAAAUGCCGUAAGGUUGUAAGAAAGAUCAUGUUCAUAGCCCAAGUAGUAUUUCAAAGUAAAUACUAAGGCAGCAUUUUUCAAGUCAGAUGCACUUGGAACAAGCACUACAAGAAAAANNNNNNNNNNNNNNNNNNNNNNNNNNNNNNNNNNNNNNNNNNNNNNNNNNNNNNNNNNNNNNNNNNNNNNNNNNNNNNNNNNNNNNNNNNNNNNNNNNNNNNNNNNNNNNNNNNNNNNNNNNNNNNNNNNNNNNNNNNNNNNNNNNNNNNNNNNNNNNNNNNNNNNNNNNNNNNNNNNNNNNNNNNNNNNNNNNNNNNNNNNNNNNNNNNNNNNNNNNNNNNNNNNNNNNNNNNNNNNNNNNNNNNNNNNNNNNNNNNNAAUUGGAAGAAUUUUUUUUUUUGGACUGAGUUAGGUCAAAAAAUAUUUUGAACACGAACCAUGAGGGAUGUUAGUUUUUCCAUAAUUAAACACAUGAAAAGAGUCAUAUUUUAGAGCGAUGAAGAGAAUACCGACCGAGUAACAUGGAAUGCAUUAUGAAACCCAAUUUCAUACUUGGUGAUGCUUGGUAUACUUAAAAGCCCACCGCGGGACACCAGAAACAGGCCCCACUGCCUAUAAAUUGGAUCAAGAGCCCUCCGACAAACCGAGUCCCAGCGCCAACGCUUGUUAGGGUUUUCUCAGUCUCCGCGGCUCCUCGCCCUUCAGCUUCUUUGGGCGAGAAGCCCUUUUUACAAUUCUUCUAUGUUCCUUGAUUUUUUUGAUUUGAUCUCUAUUCUCUCCUUUCCUCCUGUUGGAAGAUCUUAUGCUAAUUUCUUAGAUUACAGGGUCAUACAUCGCUUCUCUGAUAUUUGCUAAGCUUUUCUAUGGUUUCUGUUAGUGAAUGAUGUUGUUUUCAUCCAUUGUUUAUUUUAGUGCCAAGAAGCAGCAGAAGGCCCGAGAUCAGCAACGUCUAUUUCAGUUCCUCAUGCACCUUCGCCGCGAACCCCUUUUUCUUUUUUCUCUUUCUUAUAUCUAUAUCUCAACUGGAUCGUGACGAAAGGUUGAGGAGUCUCAUACUCUAGUACACCUAUUCCGGAAAGAGAUAGACCGAAAGUAGAGCUCCUGUUAAUCGAGUCAAAGCCAUUGGGACCUAGCUCGGAUGAAUCAUUCGAAUCUAAUCUGGUUCUGGUGAUUGCGUCUAGUAAGGAAUGGGCCGAGUUGUUGGACGAAGAUAAGAAAACAACCCCUUACCAUAGUAGGGCUAUGUUCACUGGAACUAUACGGUUNNNNNNNNNNNNNNNNNNNNNNNNNNNNNNNNNNNNNNNNNNNNNNNNNNNNNNNNNNNNNNNNNNNNNNNNNNNNNNNNNNNNNNNNNNNNNNNNNNNNNNNNNNNNNNNNNNNNNNNNNNNNNNNNNNNNNNNNNNNNNNNNNNNNNNNNNNNNNNNNNNNNNNNNNNNNNNNNNNNNNNNNNNNNNNNNNNNNNNNNNNNNNNNNNNNNNNNNNNNNNNNNNNNNNNNNNNNNNNNNNNNNNNNNNNNNNNNNNNNNNNNNNNNNNNNNNNNNNNNNNNNNNNNNNNNNNNNNNNNNNNNNNNNNNNNNNNNNNNNNNNNNNNNNNNNNNNNNNNNNNNNNNNNNNNNNNNNNNNNNNNNNNNNNNNNNNNNNNNNNNNNNNNNNNNNNNNNNNNNNNNNNNNNCGGAACAGUAAAAGAUAUUCAAUAGACUCUUCAAGGUUCAGUAGUGCAUUAUCUGUGGUCUCACCCAGCCACAAUUUACUGAGCAAAAAAUUGGAUGAUCAUAAAUGUAUAUGCUUCAGGAAGCCAAGAUCAUCUAGCUAUUGCAGGGAGCCACCACCUAGAUCUUUUAAUUUCCACUGAAGGGUGUAUGCCCAUUUGAUCCAUGUAAGGCACUACCAUGGAUUUGAAUGACAAUAUAGAUCUGCAUUUGGUUGAAGUUUUAUUUAUAAAGCUCAUCCAUAGUUUUCCCAUAACACACACACACACACGCACACACAGAGAGAGAGAAUUGUAGCUCCAAGAAUUGCAGCUCUUAUGGUAAUGGAUGGGGUUCUUAAUGCUCCAAGAAUUGUAGAUAUUCUCGGUUUGAAACUUAAGUUCCUGACUAUGCUGCCAAAAAUGUGCUGGUCAAUGCAAUGUAAUUUUGACUAUGCUGCCAAAAAUUCCUGAGUCCAAAUUAUUUCACUCUUGGCUUUNNNNNNNNNNNNNNNNNNNNGCCCAUUUGAUCCAUGUAAGGCACUACCAUGGAUUUAAUAACAAUAUAGAUCUGUAUUUGGUUGAAGUUUUAAUUUAUAAAGCUCAUCCAUAGUUUUUCCCAUCACACACACACACACACACACACACAGAGAGAGAGAUAUUUGUUUUAAUUUCUAAGUUGCAAAAGCUGACCUUAUGGAAGGUCCAAAUGUUGUACUCUAGAUGUUCUUUCUAUUUGUGGUUUUUCUGUUAUCAAGCAUCGGCUAGUCACCACAUUUUUGUUCAAAGUCCUUAAAGUUGGCUUUGUCUAUUAAGCCUGCAACUUUUGGUUAUCUUAGUUAUGUUUCUGAUCAGCUUGUAUACCUUCUCAUCCAGAUUUAUAUAUAUUUUUUUUUUUGGUAUAAAUGUAAUCUAUCUUAUUGAUCAUUAUCUACAAAUAUGCGGCUCUUAUGGUAAUGGAUGGGGUUCUUAAUGCUCCAAGAAUUGUAGAUAUUCUUGGCUUGAAACUUAAAUUCUUCUUCUUUGAGUAUACGUGUAUAAUGUACUUUUUUCACAUAAAAGGAAUUUAUACAUUUUAAGUUCAUUAUUUUCACCGAAGAUAACAAGUUUCAUCUAGAUAGUGAAAAGAGAUUUGGGGUCAACAUCUCUACUAAGAAAUUCAAAGAUCCUACUUGAUCACAGUUACUUGAGAAAGCACUAAAAGUAUGGUGAAUGGACUCAUCCUGAAAAAUAGAAGACAUGAUACAUCUUUCUGUGUCCAAAACCAUCCGUUUGAUUGAUAUACUGUUGUCUUCAUUUAUUCUUCACUUUCUAUGUACAAUGUUGACACAUAUUUAGUUUUACAAGUGUCAUUUUGUUGAUUUUUCUAAUUGUGUUAUCCAAGUGAGAACAGUGAUGCCAACUAAUUUUGUGAUAUAUAUGCAGACUUGAUCUUGAUUUGCAAGAGAAAAUAAUGGAAGUGAAUUGGAACAAAAGCACCCAAUGGAUCCCGAAAGAGAAGUUGCCUAGUGAUGUAUUCGUAUUCGUGUAGCCUGCCUCGCUCGUCUUAGAAAGAAAGAAAGAAAGAAAGGAAGAAAGAAAAGAAAAAAAAAACAUAGACCUGAAUAUAUGAUCACGUAAGAUUUAAUAGUACACUUAAGGUUUUUAAAAAAUUACUUAUCCCUUUUCACCUUCGGCUAAAACUCACAUCUGAUUAUUUUAUCUUCUUCUGUCUGUAUUAUGUUUCCUUUCGUAAUAAACUUCAAAUAGGUAGAUUUGUUGGUAUAUGGUGCUUAAAUGGCCACUUGGUUACACUCCCCACAACAACCAAAAAAAAAAAAAAACAAAGGAGGGAGGGACCGGGAGAGAACGAGUGCGAGAAAUGGCCAAUUUAACCCAAUGAUCACCCACAUAAAGAUAAUUCAAACCAAUGAAUCCCUUGUGAAGACCAUAUAAGAUGAGAUUAUUGGCAUCAUGUAUAUAGAUGGUAAUUUAUGACUCGAUUUGCCAAUCUGACGUGCAAACAGUCCACCUUAAAUAACUUUAGAUUUGACGUAAAUAGAAUUAGAUCGUAAAUGGAUCAAUCCGUUUAAACCUAUUUAUUAAAUGAAUUGAGUUCAGAUUUAAGUCUUUAAUCCAUUUAAUCUAUUCAAAAAUUAAAUAUACUUGUAACUCUAUUUAAUCUAUUCAAAAUAUGUUUAAUUUAUUUAAAACCUAUUUAAGAUAUUUAAUCGAACCUACUUAACCUAUUUCAUUUGUUUAAAAUUCUUUAAUCUACUAAAAAUUUGUUUAACCUAAUUUGAUCGGUAUAAUAAAUAGAUUUUGUGGGCCAGAAUGGUUUUAUUUGUUUAAUAAACACGUUGAAUCAAGAUCUAAAAUCUCGAUCUGUUUAAUAAAUAGAACAGAUUUGGCUCGAAGAAUUUUUAAUCCGAUCUCAUGCAAUUGCCGCCCCUGAUCGUUGGUUGGUGGGGGCAAUCACUUACUUAUCCUUCUCUUCAUAUUUUUCGAUCUUGCCGAAAAUCAAAUAGCAGCCUUACGUAAGGGAGCUGCUGCUACUCUGAUCAUUUGUGGUUUUGAAGUACAAUCAUGUGAAAUGCUGAGAUCCAUGAAGUGGAUGUUUGCUGCCCCCCUGAGGACCCACUCGAUGCGUUUUGAUGACUUUUAGUGCGUGCCAGGUGGAUACUGUUUCAUUUCUCCUAACGAGAUAGUAGAGCCAUUAUUUAACCCAAAACAAGACCGUCAUGGCUUGGACAAACUCCUAAAAUUUAUCUCUUUCAUCUCAAGGUGGGACUAAUAAUAAAACUCGAGGAAAUUCAAAAUUUUGGUAGAAGGGAAAGGAUAGAGAUUGCUUCGAUAUUGACAUUUUCAUGACAAAAUUGAAUAAAAAAGAUUUGCUAAUCUCAACAUAUAGUUUUUUUUUUCAUUUUAAAAUGCAAAGCAUGAAGUGAGUCUUAAUUGCACAUUAAUAUAACAAGUGCAUAAAAUUCAAUGGCAUAAAUCUAGGCUAUGGAAUUGUUAAGGCAUUCUAAAUAAAAAUAAACUGGUAGUGAUUAACAUUCCUUUUACCGAAGAGUUGUUGAUAGGCAAUAAACAUUUUAGUUUUUGGAGUAGAUUUGAGCAGUAUGAGGAUAGAAAAUUUAGUACUGAAAUGAUUGUCAUAGUUUGGUGGAUGGCCAUUGAAAGUUAUUUAACAAUGUAAGGAAAAUCAUAAAAUUAUAUCUGAAAAGCAAGUGAUACAUUAAUUAUCUCUCUCCUAUUUUCCGGAUAUAUGCUUCACAAUUUUUGAAAAUUUACGAGAUUAAAAGGGAAAUUUCUAAAAGAAUUAAAGAAAAUUAAACAAUAUAUAAUAUGCACAUUUUUUCUCUUUUUCUAAAAAUAGUGGUGGGAGAACAACCAAUCAAGUUCAAAUCCAAAUACUCUUUUUGGCUGGAGUAGUAAGGAGAAAGAUGUCAAACUUUAGACUAAAAUCUGACUAUCUUAAUACACCUACUUUUGAUAACACCCAAAACCCUCUACGUAAGGUUGGACUUAUAUGUCGAUGGGGGUGUGUGAUCGGGUUAAAUAAAAAGUGACUGCAUUAUAUGUAUUUCUGGAAAAAUCUUACUUCGGGAACUCCGCUACCUCUUCUCUUAUAAGCGAUUUCAUUUCUUUUUCAUAUCGCUCUUUUUGAAAAUAUCAUUUUCUAAUAUUCCUCCACCUUUCUUUUCUUAUGCCUUAAGUCUUUUCUAUACCUUACCUUUUAAUUUUUUCGAUCUAUUUUUUGUAUAGUGUAUUAAGUUACAUCUCCAAAAAUUAGAAAAGAAGAAGACAAUAUUUCCACAACAGAAGGUUUUGUCGCUACAAAUUAGAUCAAGAGUUAUUCAUGCAAAAGGUAGGUGGAUGAUCUCAUCUUUCACUUUAAUCAAAGCAAUUCCAUCUUGAUCUCUAAAGAACAUAGCGUAAAUUGGGAUCUUUUUGUACAUUUUAUCUUUCUUUUUUUUUUGUUAUCAUGUAAAAUUUUUUCCACUAUAAUUCAAUCAACCGAUGAGAAUUUAUGAUUUUGAGGAAUAUAAAUUAAACCUAAUUCAUUGAUCAAAGAAGCAUUUCAGGCUAGAUACUUUAUAAAAUUAUAGUUAAUUUUAACAAGAGAUUUACAAAUAGGUUGUGCAAAUUAAGAAUCUGCCAAAUAUUUUUUCUUUUAUCAAAACAUUAUCUAUGAUAAUUAAUAUCAUCCCCUCUAAAUUUUAAAGCACAUACAAGAAGGCAAUUUUUUUCAACCUCCUUGGAUCUACUUCUAAAUAUUAUGUCCUACGAUGCAAAUUUUUUUAUAUAUUUUUUAGAUUACAGCAUGAUAAUGAGAAAUUAAUCUUUAUCCUUUUUUGCAAACAAUACAUUGUUUCUCUUUCUUCCCCUAAGAAGGAGAAUUCUUUAUUAAAAAGAUGAACAUUGAUCGGUUGAAAUAUUAAAAUGAGAAUAAAAAUUUAACCAUUGACUAAUUGACUAAGGUUUCCAAACAAAAUAUUGAUGGAAACCUAUUAAAGAUUAUAUUUAUUUUUCUUUUUUUGGUCAACUUGUACAAUUUCAUUGUGCAUAUGUGUAUGUAUGUAUGUGUAUACAACUAAGAUGUAUAGAUAUUUACACAAAGGCAAUAAUAUUAUUUAAAUACCUAUUUCAUUCAUUUUAAAAGCAAAUUCCAUAAUUUUUUAGUGUAUUGGGUGCGUUAAAAAAAUCAUGCAGCAUUGAUAAUAAUGAAACAUUUAAUGCAUUUUUAAAAUUACGAAGACAUCCCUCUUGAAUUUAAAUGCAAGAGAUUCCAAAUAGCUAUAUAUAGCAAUGCUUUAAAAACCAACAAAAGAAAGUCCCAAACAAACAUCCCUAUCUCUUGGAAAUAUGAAAUCCAAAAUAACUCAAUAUAUAGAUGCUCAUUAAUAAACCCCAUGUGCAGCCUUUCAAUGCGCCAUCUCGUACCAUAAUCCUAUGCAUGUCUAUGUAUGUUUCUAUGUUAUUUAUUUUUAUUCAUAUAUAUUUUAUCACCUCUAGUUGCAAAAGCUUUGAGGCUAACCACAUGUCACAUGCUCGAAUUGGACAUUGCCUUCCACGAUGGACCUACCUUGGUCCACUUAAUAAAUUUUCUUUCUUCGGGUUAUCUUUUAGUUUUUUUUUAUCCUAUGUAAAAAAAUAGAAAAGCCCUCGCAUACUUGAAAAUGUGUAUAGCUAGAACUAGUAUGCACAAUGUAACUUUUAUGUGGUGAUCUCCAUGGAAAGCUUAAUAAAGGGUAGAGGUCACAUUUUUUUUUCUUUUUAAAUAGACAGAUCUGAACGGGACCAGCAACCUUGCCUAGAUUCUUGUCAUUGCCAUCGUGUUAUUAUCUUAAUCAGAGGAUUAUGAUCUCAACAACUAGGAUUAGGAUAGCUGCAAUUGGCCCGUAUUUUGUCGCCCAUAGGAGGGAAUAGGGGCAUAUUGGGAAUAUGACCUCAAAAAGAAGGCGGGUUCGUUGGCCCGUAGGUUCCGUCAGGCCGCGCUCCCAGGUCCGGAUGGGAUGUCCGCACGCGCCGGAAAAGUAGUGGCCCUGGUCUGGCCCGAGAGAAUAUCUCGUCCUUUGUCUCCACGUGGCGCUAAACUAUUGGCGGUAAAUUUACGGGCGGGAGAUCAUGUCUUUUUUUCGUCUCAUCCCCGAAUGUAUAGGGUGUUACCACUUUUACAAAAUAUCCCCGAUCUUUGCAUGUUAUUACAAUUACGCCAUCAUAACCGUCUAUUUUGAGUGGACGCAAAUCUUGAUGCGGAUUGUAGGAGGUGCUGUGGUGCGGGAGCCUCAACCUUGUACUAGGGGAACACCUACCUCGGCCUCUGGGAUGCAAAGAGACAUGGCCUGAAUGUGUGAAUUAAAUCAAUUGACUUUUAGCAAAAAUAAAUAAAUAAAUCAACUGACUCGCACCAAAUCUAAUUGAGCCCAUUGGAUUGGAUGAGGAAGUGGAGUGCUUAAGAUGGAUGGCUGAAUUAGCCCCGGUAGAUGACUCAGCAUGAUUGUGGUCUUUAGACUUAGAAAAAUUAAGUGGAAGAUUUAGAUGACUUAAUAGCAAAAGCAAAAGCUAUAUAGGAGGCUUCAAAUUAGGCUAUCUUUAUGAGAAUGCAAUCAAAUAGUAAGAGGUUCACCGCACAUCUUGCUGAUAAAUGCUUGUUGGCCACCUACUUUUUGUAUCAGUCAACAUCUAGAGGAAAGGAUAAGGUGUGAACCUUACAAUUCAUAUAUGUUAUCCAAGAAAAAGACCUACAAUGAUGCAUAAACUUCCUAUCAGAAGGUAUAUAUCUAUUAAAUUUUGUUAUAAAGAAUUACAGAUGGUUUCCUUUCUCAAUCACAUAUCUCUUUCUUAAUCACAGCCUAUCUAUAUAUCUCACAGGGGGAAAAAAAGAAAGAGAGUUUCCUUAAAAUUUCUGUUCAUGAACAGGGAGAAAAUAUUGGGUGAUGCAUGACUUGCGAAGAUGAAGACACCCUGGUAUUAACCAUAGAGAGACCCAAUCUUGUGGGCUACGAAUCAAGAAAAAUAGAAGGGAGGAUAUUAUUGAAGUUUUACAAGAUAUAUAGCCUCAACCAAACAGUAUUUAAUUUAGACUCUCAAUUAUUGCUUGAAGCCUUGGAACACCAUAUAAAUUAAUCAAUAUCAAUUAAUCAAUAUCAAUUAUUACAGCAAUACAUUGUUAUAUAGCAAGGAUUAAUAUAUAUAAGAAUUCAGAAAAAUCUAGACAGAGAGAGAGGUCCUAGUGUGACGGACAAAUCUACUUAUUCUCUCUCUCUCUCUCUCUCUCUCUCUCUCUUCAUGUAUAUUUUUAGUUUCAGGAGGCCCUGUACCUUUCCUUCCGGAUUCGAUUAAAUCGCCGAUGCCCCUUCUCUCUCUCUCUCUCUUCCCCCCCUCUCUCUCUGUUUGGCUUCUGAGAAAUGUCCCAGACUUCCAAGGUAAGCCUAAGAGAAAGAAAACAUUGUAUAGAUAUAUGGGUCUUAUGUUUUUGUAAAAAAUUAUCUUGUUUUCCUGCUGAGAUUUGUGGUGAUGGAAAAGCCAACGUCCCAAUCCGUUUUCUUUGAUCCUUUUUUUUAAAUGAGCUUCAGUUAUUUGCGGAGAUUAGCAAAAAUUUGGCAUCAAAAUUCGAUCUUGCUUAGGAUAUACUUUGUUUUCUCUUCCUUUUUCCUUUGUCGGGGUCUUGCUUUAUUCCCAUUUCAGGAAUUCUUUCUGCAAGAUUUUUUUGUACGUUUGAGCAUUUAGUCCGCACCAAUUCUGUCCUCUUCUCCUCUUCCAAAAAGUCUCUUUUUUUCCCCCCGAAAUUUUAUUGUAUUCUCUGUUCUUUUCUCCUUUCUUUUUCUCUUAAAUUUGUCCUCCUCCAUUGAUUCGUUUUGAUGGUACAUUGGUUCUUUCUUUUUAGCUCCCUCGAGUUUUGAUCUUGGUGGUGAAUGGUGAUAUUCCCCUUUGGAUGCGAGACUUCGGGUAUGGGAUUUUUCUAAAAGGCCAGGGGAAAACAGUUCUCUUUUAUGGAGUUCGAUCAUCUUUUAUAUGCUUAUUAAAAAGAAAAGAAAACAAUCUUUUUAUCAUCUGAUUUCUUUGUGAAAAGAAGACACGGAAGCCAUGAUUUCCUCUCUGUCCGUGUCUCUCAUGCCUCCUGGUGCCUUCUGAUACAACUCCAAUAGAUUCCUCUCUCUCUCUCUCUCUCUCNNNNNNNNNNNNNNNNNNNNCUCUCUCUCUCUCUCUCUCUCUCUCUCCCUCCCCUUCUUCUCUAUCCUCCUUGGGUUCCUCACCGGGCUUUCUGUUUUGCUUCAAGAAGAGAUGGGAUGAUGGGAAAACUUCCUUUUUACCUCAGUUGUAUCAAACUUUGUCCCCUCCUUGAUGUCUUCCUUCCUCACUUGGGUUUCUAGUUUUAAGAGCCUCUUUAUGUGCUUUUUGAGGAGUUAAAGCUAGGUUCUACCCAGAGAUCUCCUCUUUUUCUAACACCCUUCUCUUCAUUGUGUUGUUUCUUUUCUUUUUUUCCCUCUAAUUGGCAUGCAGGCCUGGUUUUGACUCCCAAGCGAGGAGGAGGAGGAGGAGGAGUGGAUGGAGAGGGACACCUUCUCAGGCCUUGGCAAUGGCACCCAGGUGGACAGCAAAGUUCUCCAGACUUUCCAGAAGAGCUUUGUCCAGGUCCAGAGCAUCUUGGAUCAGAAUAGGCUGUUGAUCAAUGAGAUCAACCAGAACCAUGAGUCGAGGAUCCCCGACAACCUCAGCCGGAACGUCGGCCUGAUCCGAGAGCUCAACAACAACAUCAGGAGGGUCGUCGAGCUCUACGCCGACCUCUCUAGCUCAUUUGCCAAGUCCAUGGAGUCCUCGGAGGGAGACUCAGCUGGCACUCUUAGGUCUUCUGAUGGGAAGCCUGGCCAGAAGAGAAUUAGGCCUGGGUAGACGCAAAGUGAGGCAGAGCCCCUUGUCUUCUUCCUUGGGAGGCACAGAGAUAAUGGUGGUAGGAUUGGACCUUGAUAGCUUCGCAGAGAAAGAGAGAGAGAGAGAGAGAGUAGAGUCCAAUAAUAGGUGAUUUCUUGCAUUGUUGUAAUCCUAUCUAACUCCGCUUCCUCUCUCUGCUCUCAUUGAAAUGAUGCUCUGCGUGCAUUCUGAAGUAGUUUAAUUUUCUUCUAGUGUUCUUGUAUCCGUCCUAUGGACAUCCCAUAAUAAUAGAGUGAGCAUUGCAGCUUUUCUUAUAGAUUGCUGUCGAUCCUUAUUUGCUGGGUUUUUAUUCUUGAAGCUAAUUUUCUUUAUUUAGAUUGUUGUUGAAUCUUAUAUUGGUUUUGUCCGAAGUUGUUUGCAUGUAUGAUGGGCAUGAAUUGUUGUUUGUAGUCUAAUAGAAAACAUUUCCAGAAGCCUUAUCAACCACAGUCGUUUGUUAUUCUGAUGUCUCAGCCUUUAGCCUUUUGCCCUCCACUUUCUCUUGUCUUGAAAAGUUCGAGAGCUGAUCCGGGUUUUUAUCGUUCUCUUGAUUGAUUGUUCUUCCGUGGUCACCACCAUUAAUCCCUGAUGAAACCAAUCCUAGCUCCUUUUUUAAGAGCCUUUGCCACAAACUAUUUGUCCGUUUCUGCGAUCUUUUGUAGAGGACUGUAGUGGUGGGUGCUGUUUCCCACUUCAUAAACCUACAAAAGAGAUAUGGAGAGGCCCCUGAAGCCCUUUCAUCCCAUGGAAUCAAACCUUUUUCUGGUAGCUAAGAGACACUUUCCAUCCUUUGUGUGGAAGGGGAACAUGAAUCUCCCUGUGAAUGCCUGCAAAGUUAGUGGGCUUCUGAAGAUGCUCUAUAGGACAUCAACAGGAAAGCAACUUUUAAACAAUUUUUUUGGCUUCCAAUCAUAUACCACAAGGCCAGAAUCUCAGAUAAGAGCAGAUGAGCUUUUUGACCCUUGUCCUGUUCUAGCAAAUGCCAAUCUCAUGCAUGUUCUUUAGUUGGAGCUCUAAGAAAGCAAAAUAUUGGAGAAUGGAAAGCAGCACAGAUGGUCUCCAGCAAAGAACUAGAACACCACAGCAAUCCACAUAAGGUUUUACCCCAACAACAGGAAAAAGGUGCCCAUAGGUUCCUUUUGAAGAUUUCCAUUGUCUGGAUCUCCAGUACAAUUUUAUUUGUAAAGAGAAUAUUUUUCAAAAUUUAUUCAAAAAAAAACCCCAUACUUGCUGUUGGAAUGAUUAAUAAGAGAUAUGCUUGUUAUUCCAAUGAUUAAUAUAGGUCGUAUGAGAUCUUAGGGAUGAUGGUUUCGAAACUUAUGACCUCAAACAACCAAGACCAAUCUUUUCAUGGGGCAUUUGCCAUGACUAAUUGAAGCUUGCUCCUUUUGCUCCAAAGGAUUAUAGGGAAUCAAGUGGAUCUGAAGUGUGGGUAGGUAUCCAAACCAUGGUUGAACUAACUUCUUCCUAUAUUUUGAAGCCACUUUUUUUUAAACUUGUCUAUUUUCUUAGCUUAACACUACUAAGCUAAGAAAAGUCUCUAGAUAGUUAAAAACUAGAAAGUAUUAUCUAUUAACAAUUCAUAGUUCAUACAAGUAAUGGUAGAUAGACCUGAGUGCUGACACUUAACCCCCUUCCUUCCCUUUUCAAACACAUGAAAGUGCUUUUGGUUGAGUUUUCAACUAAGCUCUGCUUUGCAUAUGAUAUUUUUAAUAGAAAGAUGUCUUUGGGAAAGAAUUGAGAGGUACCCAAUUGAUAGCUUUGCAUGCCAGCUGACAAUUCUUUAAAUAACAUAAUCUGCAGUAAUUUAUAGUUUUUGAAACCUCAGGCUUCAUGGUAGCAAUCUUUGUUUUUAAAUCUUGAUUGUUGAUUUAGAGUAGAUAUUUAUCUGUUUUUCAUGAGGAAUGCUUGUAUUAGCUUCAUUAGCUUUAUCUUCUUAACCAAGGUGCCUGGAGGUGCAAGAAAAUAGCAUGUACUCUGCAAAACUGGCAGUUGGGUGUAUGCCUAAGCUCCUAGUUAUCCCUCUAAGAGGUCAUGGUUCAUAUUUGUUGCAUGUAGUCUCAUAGAUGUACUAGAAAAAAAUUUGGGACAAUAACAUGUAGAAAGAUGAAAGAUUCAAGAUAAAGGUAGCUUCUCUCUGUUGUGUGGUAGAUUCUUGUUAGACAUUCAUUAUUGCUCAUUUUAUGUUGUCAAAUUCUUUCAUAUAUUUUUCACUCUUUGCGCCAAAUGGACUAGGAAUUGUCUGUUGGCACCCCUUGUUUUAUGCACUGAGGAAGUAGUAUUCCCAUUAUAUUUUUUUUUAAAAAAAAGGAAAUUCGAAUUCUUUGCCUUUUUUCUUGCCAUUUUUAUAGAUGUGAGUUGCUGUUGGCCUUUCAUUUAGGAUAUUCUCCAAAAAAAAAACAAGAAAAAGGAAAAGGGGAAAAAAAAUAAUCCAAUGUAUUUCUGCAAUAUUUUAGUUUUCCCACCAACCAUGGUUAGAAAACUCGACUUUUCUAAUUAUUUUAGUUUCUAAGACUUUUUCCAAGAAACUAGUCCGAGGCUAUAUUUUAUUGGUGUCCCAUAAUCCCGAUUACAUUCCAAAUAAUUUUCUCAUGUUAAACUUGCUUAAUGUUCAUACUUUUUUUAAGAAAAUUGAAAAAAAAAUCCUAAGAUCUUAUUUGUUUAUCUUUUACACUUGUUUUAUCUCCUCUUUCCCCUUUGUUAGUUGGUAGUUUGCACACCUAUUUAAACUUUUUUAGGUAUGUAUUCAUCUUCAAGGCAGAGAGAAAGAGAACUUUUUAUUUUAAUUGUAUUAUAUGUUAACUCUUUUUUCUUUUUUUAAAAAACCAAACAAUUGUUUCCUAACCAAUAAUUCAUAUAUUCAACAUAGUAAGAUGAGCUUUCAAAUAUGAAACAACUUUUCUAGUUUUUUUUCCUCAUAUUCUAUAAUGUAUUAGAUAAGAGACUCGAACUUGGAAUCUACCUUUACCAAGCAAAAGAAAAUUCAGAUAUUUCAAAAUCUUUAAAUGUUCUUUCUUUUCUUGAGGAGUGAAAAAAAAAAUCCAAUCCUCAAAAUCCUAAAUUCUAGGAAAAUAUAUCUCUGCUCAGUGACUUUGAAUUUCGCAUCACUAGUCAAUGUGCUAUAAUCAAUUUUUAUAUUAGCAGACAUCUCAACUAACUGCAUCAAUAUAUCUACUUUUUUUACUUGUACAAUUAUGACAUUAAUCUAAUAAUCAUUUGUCUUGAUUCCUGUGACAUAAUUUGUUGUUAAAUUCUCCUUGAUUAAUGUUAUUAUAAGCUAAUAGAUGGCCUAGUGCAGGAGUUCGAUUUUAUUUUGACAGAAGCACCCCUCUUACUUUUUCCAUCAAGAUUAUCUCGAGAAAGAUAAAGACAAGCUCCACAGCUGCUAUCAUAAAGGAGAAGUAUAUUUAUCAAUUUUCUAAAGGAAAGAUCAUUUGAUAAUGAUGGACGCCAGCCAAAAUGGUGGUCCGCAUGUGUCAUUUAUGGGCCCAUCCCGUGACGCAAGGAAAACAAAAAGGAGAUCUACCAACAUUAGCCGAAGUCCGAAGGCUAGCAUUGGCCGAAUGCCAACGCAAUUCCCUCCUUGAAAUAGGAGUUUCCUUUGAGCCACCACAACGUCAUCUUAUCAAUAGCACAUAUUAAUUGAAGUAGUUUAAGAUAUCAUAUAUGCCCAAGUCAUGGAUUAGUAUUACUAGACACAGCUUUACUCUCUUUCUUUUUUUCUUGGGGGGGGUCUGUGUCCCACCGCCAUGUCUCCAAACAAAUGACUUGUUUACCUUUGCUCAUAGUUUAGGGAUUGUGGGUUUGCAAAUAUAGGUUGGCUCCUCAUUUGUUUAUUUGUAAGUACUGGCGUUGUGAACGAGGUUUAGAGGAAGGGAGAAAAGAUUCCAACCUAUCUUCAUGCUUAUAAAAGCAACCUUAGAUUAGUAGGACCUUUUUUUUAAAGAUUCCAACCUAUUGCUCGGAGAUUUAUAAAGUGGGAUUCCGUUGAGCAUGAGUUAGCACAACCGUUCCUAGAAGAAGAACAAGGCUUAAUUUGGGAUGGAGUGCGUUGAAUUGUGCAUAUGGGUGCAUGAUUUGCCUUCCACGGUUCCCUAUAAAAGAUUAUACAAAAUAAUACAUGAUGUAUUAGAUUCCUAGCUAAUUUUUUUACACGGUAUUUUAGAAACUAAGAUUUCCAUAGUUGAUCGAGUGGAGCAUGAGAAUAUUGUAACAUGCUAAUAGUUAGCUCAUUGGUCGAAAAUCUAUUUAUUUCUCAUUUAUUUGUCGUCGGUCAACACUUAUUGUAAAAUAUUUAAUAUCUUCGGAUAAAUUAGGUAAACCACUUGAUUUAGGUAAUUCCUUAUGAUGACUAUUAUAACUACACUCUAUGCCUCUAGUGUGACCAUUUUGUUAUAGUUUUAUUAUGUGCUAUUCCAAUGCAUUAUUUUAUUGGUUAAAAUCCCAAAAUAUAUGUGGUAAUGUGUAUAUGUUUGUGUUUCUGUUUAUAUAUCUAUGUGUGCAUCUGAAGUUCGGUCCAAUGGUAAUUAAGCUUAGAGGUGGAAAAAAGAAAAAAUUUGACCAUUAAUGUAAACGACGGUUUUAGAUAUUAUCGAUGCUGAUGUUCUACUAUGAUGGUGCUCCAAUGAUAUAUUUUGGACUAUUAUGGACUGGUUGGACAUGUAGGAAAGUUCAGAUUAGUUUUGGAGUAAAACCAGACUUACUUAACACUUAGCAUGGAGUCUAUUUUAAACAUUCCAAGUGUUAUCAUCUAACUUUUUAAUAGAACAACAUUGUAUAUAUUAGUUUCAUCGUAAUUUGAGCCUAUUUUGUAUUAAUGAUGCCCAACAAAACUCAAAUUAAAAAAAUAUUUUACCUGGAAAAUAUGUGGUUGGAAGGUAAUUCUACAACCAUAGAAUGAUUAGCUUAGGUCUUUCAAGGCUACCCAUACUCAUCUAGAAGAAAACAAUGCCGCUAGGUGGCGUGGUAACUAGGAGUUUAAAAUUCAUGCUAGAGAUAAGUGGAUUGGAGACUCCCCUAUAAAGGCAUACUUAGAGCUCAAGUCGAUACAAAUGGAACGCUGUACGAAUGAUUGUAAAAAAGAAUAUUUAGCAAGUUUGACAUAGAUAUAAUUAUUAGUUGAGAAAAAUUUAGAAAUUCUCUAAGAGGAAAGAAAAUGAUAUCAUUAGCUAAAUUUGGGCCAAAUUAAGUUUUUGAUUAUAUAUUGUCAUUCAUCUUAUUAUCUUUUUUAACAUCUGUGUUCUCUUUUGACUAAAAAGGGAAAUUUGCCUUUAAGAUAGAAUGGUCAGACCUUACUAAUUAAAAGAAUAAAGGGAAACUAUGGUCUCUAGAAGGCAAGGAAGAAUUUUGCUUCAGGUUUCACCCCAAAAGUUUAUUGACUUUCUAUUAAUUGUUGAAAGUGAUAAAAAUUGAAGAAAAACUUUCACUAAAUCAAGAAGUUAGAAUAGUAGGUUGGAAAAGAUUUUGCACGAUUUUAGCAUUAAAAUUCCAGCACUCAAAAAGAUGAACAGUGACCACCUUUAAUAAAGUUAGACUCCUUUAUCUUUUUGUUUUUUCUCCUUAAACAAAGCUGAUUGUUGCUUGAGAACAUGUAAGGCUGCAAAAGAAUGCUAAUUUUUCCUAUUGUGCUUGGUAGUGGCUAAUUAAUAUUGUCGUUACCAAAUGAAUCUUAUGCCAUUUAACAAAAAUGGCUUAACAUGUCAUUAUAAAAUGCUAAAGGGACAACCAAAAAAUAAUAAAAUACAGAAAGGGAUACAUGGAUAAUGUAUAACUUUCCCAUUGGACCUUUUAUAACACAGUUUAUAUUUGUUAAGAAUGUGAUUGGAUAGGGAACAAGUGAGGAGAUAACCUUAUAUUUUCUCUCUCAUUCUACCAAACAACCUUUUGAGCUGAUCAAAUAGGACCACUCCAUGCUUAUGACACUGGAGGGAAUAUCCCUUUCACUUCCAUCAUAAGCCUAUUCUAUAAAAAGGGAUGGAAUGGGCUUCUCUCCCACAAAUACCAUAUAGCCAAUUACCACAAAACUCAUCCACUUUUCUAAAAAAAACAGUGAAAGGGUGAUUUUGCUGCUGUAAAAAAUUUAGAUCAUAUAGAAUCUAAUGCAUGCUAAUGCACUAUAUUCCAUCCUAAUAUCCCUUCCCACUUAUUUCUCCAGCCAAACACCAAGAUAUUCUUAUCCUGCGGAAUAAAUCCGUGUCUUCUAUAUCACCCAGACCAACUUUUCCAGUUUUUUAGAAUAUGUCCUGUAAUCAAAUGCAGUCAAAGAUAUGUAUAAAAAAGUUAUACAACAACCAUGUAACUUUUUUAUACAAGAUUUGUAUGCUAUCUUAAUGUACUACUCUAAAUCCUUGAAUGCGUUUCUCAAACAAAAUAUUUGAACCCAUGCCAUAAAAAAAAAGACAAGAAUGUCACGUUCACAUGCCCUGUGGCAAAUUACCAUCCACAGGACAAGCCAAACUAGCCGUUGAUUUUUGUGGGGGUAAAAGAUUGCAUGAUCAAAAGAAUACCAACGUGAUUCACGAAUGACACUUCCUCCAACCAGAUUACAUAACUACCCCUGACCUUCCUUAUUUUUACGAUGCCACCAUGGUCCCAAACAACUAGUCCCCUUGUCGGUGAGAGGGAUUGUCCCUGGGUGACAAAUGGGUGUACAAUCUUCUGCUUUUAGUUGUAUUACUCUCGGGUACAAAAUUAGUUAGUUUAAAGUGGCUAUCGUGGACCAUCAUUGGCCGUACGCUCCGUGCGACCUUGGAGAGGAGUAGCGUCAUCCGUCGCCACCCAUCUCGAAUUGGCGCGAAUCUCCAGACAGAUCCCGAAUACGGUUCUUUUGAUCGUUCGAAAAUUUUGUACGGUGAGAUAUCGUCUAUACAGAGUGUCAGGGUGUGCGAGCCAAACACCCAGCUUGGGUCGAACCUCCUCCGAAAAGAAAUAUGCGUCGGUUCUAAAUUCUAAUAUAAAGUUUUCUUUUUUUUAAAAAAAAAAUGGGAGACUUAGAGCUCACAUAGAAGUCGGUCAAGGCCCUGCCACGUUUACCUGAGGCCUAGUGUGGUGGCGGUGACACAUGGUGCGUUUUGUGAUUAAUUCGCUGCCAGAUGGAUUAUGCACAACGGACUACAGUGUGGUGGAUGCUCACCGAAGAAAAUGCGAGCCUAUAAGCGGGAUGGAGGCACCUCCCGGGAUCUCACCUCCCGAAGCUAGCAUUAGCAAAUUCUAAAGAGAGCAGCAGCAAUGUCAUGCACCAAGGAUAAGAAAAAAAAAUUAUAACAUUAAAAUUAUUAGAUUGGUGCCGUAUCAUAAUUGUAGAUUAAAAUAAAAUAUUGGCUAGAAUCAUGAUCCAUCAAAUCCAUAUUCUAUUUUGGAUCCUUCACUGUUUAUAUCUUGUACGUGCAUCCAAAAUAAGUAUUAAAAAUCUAGGCUCAUGAAAGGUAGGGAUGUCUUUCAUCAUAUUUAUUUAAAAUAAAUGUAAAAUUGAAUCAAAACUUUUGCAUGAUCCUUUGAUUAAAAUAGAUAAUCGAACGAGUUUCAAAUUGAUAAAACCAGCUUUAUUAUUUAAGUUUGCAAUUCUUUUAUGCAUGAACAUUAUAAAAAAAAUAAGCAGAAACAUAUCCCAAAGAUUUACUAUUUUUCACGGCUGCCCAAUCAUACAUCAUAGGUGCCCACUAUAAAUAAAUAGGCGAGCUUUAAUUUAAAACUCAAAAUAAAAUAAAAUAAGCCAAGUUGCCAAUGAUUAUUAAUAAUAGAUUAUCAGUUAAACUAAAUAUUAAAAAAAUUUGUUCAAGAAAUUGUCCAAAUUUCUACUAAUUACAAUACUUCAGUCUCACGGAGAGAUGCUUAUUAACCUAGUUAUAGCCAUACUUUUCUUCUAGUUCACCUUCCAAUAACUAUAAUAUAAAUAUAUAAAUUAAUAUAAUAGUUAUAACUUGUUAUAGCCAUUGAUGAAAUAUUUAAUUAUUAUAGUAUCCUAGAUUUGAUCCUGGACUUAUACAUAUCUUGAAUAGCUACAAAUCAUACAUACACGUCUAGUGUCCAUUGAGGCAGUAGGAAGCGGUGAAAGACCGCCUAAGGUUAAGAGCGGUGAGUACACUCCCACUAACCAUUAAAGAAUGGAAAAGACCACUCCCCAUCCGGCCCCAUCAUUUUUUUUCUUUUUCCAGUUCGAGGACCCUCUAUAGACUCCGGAGCCUUUCCUUCCGGAUUCGUGCACAUCGACGCUCAUCUCGCGCUUUCUCACGCCUUCUCAGAUUUCCUCUCCUUCUCCCCCCACCCCACCUUCCACCUCUCUCUUAUACGGCUCUGAAUAAAUGCUCCGGAUUUUCAAGGUACGCCAACGAAGAUUUAUGUGCCGCCUUUCCUUUUCUUCUGGGAUUUGUUGUUGAUGGAGAUUCCAAUGUUUCCGACCCUGCUUUUGAUCGUUUCUCGAAAUAGAUUUUUUUUAUUUUGCAGGAUUGUCAACUAUUUCGCAUCAAAAGCCGAAUCGUUAUUGGUUUUUUCUUUUAUUCUGGGUUUGUUAUUGGUUGUCUUUUAGAUACUCCCUUUCAGUUUUUCUCCGAAUGGAUUGUAGUUUUUCUCGAAUAUUAUGAAGAAUUCUGUAUCAAAAUCCGAUCUUUACUGUUCCAUCUUCUUCUUUUUUCUGUUCUCUUUUCUUCAUGUUUAUAAUGUUUUAGACACCUCCUUUUUGUUUUUCUUCCGGAUGGAUUGUCGUUUUUCUUGAAUAUUAUGAAGAAUUUUGUAUCGAAAUUCGAUCUUGGUUUCUCUCUCCUCUGUUUUCAGUUGUUGGUGUGGUAGUAUUCUUUUUUUUUUUUUUUGUUCUCUGGGUUUUUGUUUAUGUUCUUGUUUCAGGAAUUCUUCUGCAAGAUUUCUGUGUACGGUGAGCAUUUGGACAACCAAUUCUGUCCUCUUGAUCCUGCUCCACACCAGAACGAAAAGGUCCUUUUCCUGUCUAUUUUUCCCCCGUAAAAUUAGACAAUUUUUAUCCUUUUGCUCCUCCUCCGUGAAAUUUUUGCUCUGCCAUCUCUUUUUCAGUACAUUGGCUGUUUUCUUUUUCUUUUAAAAUCUCUCUUUAUUUUGUGUGGUAGUUCUCACUUCUCAGUUGAAUGUGAGGCCUCUGAAAUGGUUUCUUUUUGUAAGGAAAAAAAAAAGCAGCAGCUCUGGAAAGCUAUGCUGCUUAUGGAAUUGGAUCAGCUUUUCUAUACUAUAAUAUGGAAAACCCUGUUUGCCAUCUGAUCCCUUUGUGAAAAGUAGCCUCCAAGGCCAUGAUUUCUCUUCAGUCCUUGUCUCUCAUGCCUCCUAAGGCCUGAUUCCACUGCUCUAGAUUCCUCUCUCUCCCCUACCCCCCCCCCUUCUGUUUUCCUAUGCUCCAAAUUUUUUUUGUUUUUUUUUCAAGCUUGCUUCUGAGGAGUUUAGGCUACUGGUACUCAUUUAUCUUUCCCAUUUCCAUCAAAUUUGGUCUCUCCUUAGUGGCUUCCUCACUUGCUUUUCUUGCUUCCUCCUUAGUGAUUCCUCUCUUUUUCUCCCCCUAUCCUGAUCUGAUUUCUAUCUGCAGGACUGGUUUUGAACCCACCUUAGAAGAGGAAAAGAAGUGGGGAUGAUGGAGGGGGACACCUUCUCAGGCCUUGACAAUGGAACCCAAGCGGACAACAAGGUCCUCCAGGGCUUCAAGAAGAGCUUUGUCCAGGUCCAAAGCAUCCUGGAUCAGAACAGGCUGCUGAUCAAUGAGAUCAACCAGAACCAUGAGUCGAAGAUCCCCGACAACCUCAGCCGGAAUGUCGGCCUCAUCCGUGAGCUCAACAACAACAUCCGGCGAGUCGUCGACCUUUACGCCGAUCUCUCCUUCUCCUUUACCAAAUCCAUGGAAGCGUCAUCGGAGGGGGAGUCAGACGGGAAGCCCGGCCACAAGAGAACUAGGCCUGGCUAGAGAAGCAUGACAAAAAGGCAACGCUUUUGCCCACGGCAGCAUGGAACUUGAUAGACUCGCGGAGACACAGAGAGAAGCCGUACUCUGCUCUUCUUCAUAAUAACAGGUGAUUACUUGCCAUGUUGUAAUCCAGCGCAACUCUCAUUGUCUUCUAUCUCAUUCAUAUGAAGCUCUCUGCCUACCUUAUAGACUAUGUUGUUUAAGUGUACCUCUGUUUCUGGUUCUUAUGAGCAUAGCUUUGGUCAUGGAAUCAAGGUCUCUUUAGCUUAAAACUAGGAAAACCUUUUCAUCAUUUGUGUGAGAUGGGUUGUCUGUAAUAAUGAUUUAAGACAGCAGCAACAAAGCAACUAUGGAUAAUUUUUUUUGUCUUCUAAUCAUAUGCCACAAUGAGAAAAAUGUUUUAUAAUCUCAAAUGGGGGGAUGGGGCUUUGUAUGAUCUUUUUGGAUCGGAGGUAUAAAUUUGGAGAAUAUGAGAUAGGAUUUAUGAAUGUGUGUUUAAUUCUACAUCAGUUGCUGAAUUUUUUUUAAUAUUUAUACAAAACUAAAAAAUUUAAAAGUAUUUUUUGAUUAGAUUUUUUUGAUGAGAUACUGAGUCGUAGGACCGAUAUCUAUAAACAUUGAUGCCCAAGAUCAUUUGGUUUUGGGGGAGCUCAAUAAUUGGGCAUGUGGGGGCUCUGCUCCUUCCUCGUAUAAUGGAUUGUAGGAGCUUGAAAGGGAAUUUGGCAUGCAAGCUGAAACUACUGGAAUAAUAUUUUAUGGAGGAAAAAAACAUUAGAAUAACGCCUCGUGGAAGAAGACAGAUAUUCAUAUUUAGAGAUGGAAUAUGACAAAUAUUGUCUAUGGUUUCAAAGAAUCUACUGGAAAGAUACAACUUGAUACAUUUUCUAAAACACGACUUUUGGGCAACACGUACGUCAUUAAAUAGAGAACAAGAUAUCCAGGUUUGGACGUCUAACCUUCUUGAGUUCUUGUCCUUGUAACGUGUUUCUCGGUUUCUUAUAAAAAAAUAAAAACCUCUUUCAUGCGAAUAGGUGCAGGCAAAUUGUACUUACAGGAGAAACCUCUUUCAAAGAGACAAAAUGAAGAAAUUUUUAUGCUGGUUAAAAUUGUUUACAGGAAUAAUUAUUCCAAGAAAAAGCUCUCAUAAGCUAUUCUUUAGUAAAAUUAUACUAAUUUUUUAUUUUAAGAUAAAAAUCAGCAUUUAGAAUGUUAAAAUAAAGGAACGAGAUGAAAUCUCUGUAUCUUAUAUUCACCAUUAAUACAAUAUGUGCAUCAAUAUAUAGCCUGAUGAUAUAGCUAGUAAAAAAAAUGUAUUAAAAUUAAUAAAAAAUAUUAAUUAUAUUUAAACCAGAAUAAUAGCAAGAUGGUAAAUAUGUUUAACGGAGAAGAUAUUUUAAGAGAUUCUUUUAGCUAUUUAAUAGCAGAGCCAAAUAAUAUUUAGCAUAACUUUAUUUUUUUAUAUUCUCGAACCAAAUGUAGCUACAAACUUUUGUGGAACCUUCCACCAGCUCCAUGUUCCUCAUUUUUCUUUUCUGCUCAACAAGUCCAUUUCUUAGAUAACAUAUGGAUUGAGUAGUCAGUGGUCCAAAUAGGUCCAUUUCAUCAUUAUGAGAAUCAUCAGAAUGCUGUGCCAUGUAAAAAACUAUCCGAUCUGCAACGUUGUUCAUCUCACGAUAUAUACGAGUAGCUUAGAAUUUAGUGCAGCUCAAAGCUAUCUUCCAAAUAUCUAGUAGUAAAAAGGGGUCCAUUUACCUAUUAAGCAUGUCUUAAAAUCUAACCUUUCACAAUCAUUGAAUCACCCUCGAGAUAAAUAUGAUUAAUUCUUAAGACAGAUCUUGCAUAACUCAUACCUUUUCAUGUCGCGCUCAACUUUAUUUCACGAAUGAAUAUCAUAAAUUUGUCCAUAUAAAUUUAGAGUUAGAGUCUCUAGCACCUUCUUUGUCAUCUUCAUCGACUAUAUUACCCUCGAAGUUUAUCUUGAUAAAGCUUUGGGUCGGGCUCCCAGCGAAAGAAUCAUCUAAGGUGUUGGCUGUUUCAUAUAUAAUAGCGAUAAUACAUGGUCAAAGUGUUUCGAAGGCUCAGGCUGCCACGUGUUCUAUUCCACAAAGUUUCAUUGACUGAACAGCCGCGAUAUAAUCUUUCUCGAACUUUGCUGCCGUAUAUUUUUAUUAUAUUUUAUUAAUAAUAAUUUCAAAUCACAAUCAUUAUUCACUAAGGGGUUUCAAUGGGGCUUUAGCGCUUACACGGAGGCGGAGAGGAAAGGAACGGAAAAUCGGACGUAAAGGAGGAAAAAGAGAAAAAAAUGUUGAGGAAGAAAUACCUCACACAGAUGAGAUAGAUAAUUUGAUAAAAAAAUAAUAAAUAAAGAGAUAUGAUUAGAAAAAUAAUACAUAUCAGUCUUUUUUCAUAAACAAUCUCUUUUAGUAUGUGUAAUUUCUUUUAUAAUUAUAAAACUGAAACACUAUGUUAAUAAAAGAAGUUUCGCUCUUAUUUAAUUUUUGGAUUUUUUCCGCCUCUUAAUUUUUGCCUAUUCUAUCUUAAGCAGCAACCUGUUGAUUCUCAAAGUGAAUGCUUUGGAUUUUCUGAAUGCUCUUCUUUGCAUGAUUCAAAGUCUUGAAGGGACUUCUCCACUGAUCUAUACAAGUGUUGGACUUGUUCUUGAAUCACCAAAUAUUGUUUAGCAAGAUAUUCUGGCUGUAAAGUAACCUCAGAUACAGAUAUGAGCAAAUCUUUUCCUAACAGUGUUAACAAUAUAAGAUUGGACAAUGUUUGCCUUGAUCAAAAUUGUGCCAGUUCUUUGCCAGGUUUCACACAGGUGCCACCAUGCGAACUUGACUAUAGACUUGGACCAACUUGACAUAUAUGGUUUACCAAAUUGUGAAUUAGGUUUUCAAGCAAAAAAAAAAAAAGGAGCCAAUUGGAGCCUGGGGCAGCUACACUUUACCUCGAAUCAAGCUCAGCCACAUGCCUUCAAGUUUGGCUUAUGAACAACGUGUAUCUUUAUAAGUAAGCUAUGAUUCCUCAAGCUUAUCUGCAAGUUAUAAUUUAUCUCAGGUUGUAAUCCAUUGGACCUUUAGCUAUGGAAUUUAUCUUUUUAAUUAUAUCAUAGAUACGAAGUGAUUAAGUUUUAUGACAUGAUAAAAUAAACUUUCUAGUUCACCAUAAAGAUAGAUUAAAAAAAUAUCCACCGCUAUAGAAUAACUGAGCCCUCUCAUAAUGAUGACGAUGGAAGCAAGCUAUAAGUGUUUAUCUUCAAGUGCCUUGCAACCUAUCUUUCUAUCAAAAGAGAAACAGCUUGCCAACUAAUAAAAAAUAUCUUAAAAUAAAUAAAAUAAGGUUAGGCAUUUGGAUAAGAAAACCAGGGAAUCAAUCCUAGGUCCUUAGGUGUGUAUUAAGAACUAAGAAAAGUGGCGGGAAGAUCAUUAAGGCAUUCCUCAUUAUUUUAAUCCUUGAUGCUUUGUUUUAAGGAAACAAUCGAACCCAAGCUUGGUUGAAUUAAAUAUCUAAGCAAGUCAAGCUUGGCUUACCCAUAAGUCUUCCCCCUCAUAGGAGAAUCUGAUGCUCCACAGCUUGCACUUCUUUUUUUUUUUAUUAUAUAUGUGUGACAGUAAGAUUGUCUCAUUGUAACUUUGAAUUGCUUGAAAUAUAGAAACAGCAUCUUGUAUACGGGUGUAAGGCUGCAUACAUCUAAUCUUUUUCACAACUUCUAGUGAUGGGAGGCGUGUGUACGGGGAUGUCCUUUUUUUCUUACCUCUUUAUGAGGGCAAAGUUUUGAUCUACUUUCCGAUUAUCUUAUUUUCAUCACCCCUGCUCCAAAAGGAACACUCAAUUUUAUGUAGUUUCCAACAAACUAUUUCAACUUUUUACGCUACUAUGAUACUUAUCUGAACUACCUAAUAUAAAGGCUUUGAUUAAUAUUAAUCACAUGCAAUCAAUUCCAAGGGAUUUGAAGUUGUACCUCACCUAAAAAUCAAGCUGAUUAACAACUAUGAUCAGUAUGAUUUUUUUUUUCUCUCUACUCAAAUAAAAAUGAAAGUGUUCAUGAAUUCGAUUGUUGGACAUAGAAUAAGACUCAACCUUGUUGACACUUAAAAUUUAAACAUAUCAAAAGGGUUUUCCACAAAUUGAUUAGUUCACAGCCUUCAUCAUUUGUUGUGGAUCCCACUAAAAAUCAAGUAGGUGAACAAAAAGGAUAAGAAGAAAAUGCCUAACAUACUCCUUUCUUGUGUCAAGAGAAGUGGGUCUAAAUGGAUGCACACAAAAAGCACUUAUCCAUCACAGAUGGACCACUUGGUGUCAUCCAUGGCCCCAGCCCAUAAAAGCAGCAGACAAGAUGGAAAAAAUCUAUCAAUCAUCAUAUGUGGGCUUAUAUUAUCACUGUACCAUCUUAUCAAAAGCCUGCUAUUAAAGCUGUCUAAUAUGAGUUCAAGCCUUGUAAUAGCAUCAUUAGGCUUUUAUCACUUCAGGCAACUUGUGUGUGUCCCUCCACCAAACUUCCCAAACAAUUAAUAGGGUUGUCUACUUCAGAAGUUUUCUCCUCUUCAGCACCAGAUAUAUCUUUUGUUUACAUCAGCUCUCAUUGUGACAGACUUUGAUGUUAUAUUGAAUUGGAGUGGGACCCCUUUAACCUGCCAGAUUUAGAUUUUUUUGGCAGGCAAUCUCAUGGCCUCUCUCACUUUGGUUGCAACAAUGCUGGGUCUUGGCCAGACUCAGACAAUUUGGUCAAUAUCUGGCCCGUACUUGAAAACCUACCUGACAGAUCGACAAUCUGACUUGACCAAGAUGCAGUCUAACCUGGAAAUUUGUGCUUGCAUCCAACCCUGAAUUCUUAAUUGAUCCAUUAUGCAUUCAUUUUAGUUUAGGUAAAUACCAGGUGAAAUUAGUCGGAUUUGGGAAGACAUAAGACUUUAUUACUUUCUUAAAACGCAUUAGACAAGUGUUCAAAAUAACAUUGAUGUACUCCUAUAUGUAUUGCCUAGGCCAACCACAGCCCAUGCCUAACUAAAACCAAUAGAGACCUAUAAUUUGAAUUCAUGGCAACAGUUUUCAUUUUAUUGAUUUAAUUAUAUUUUUAUUUAAUCCAAUUACUAUUAUAUAUCAGAAAAAUUGAAAAAAAAUCAUAAUGUCUCCUAGAGAUUUAUUUUUAUUUUUAUUUUGAUGGCAAAAGAUUUAUUUCCUAGCUAAGAUGGUUCAUACUUUUCGGAGGUAUAGAAAUAAGCGAAGCCAUAGUCAUUGGUCAAGGCUCCCUCAAAUAGGAACAACCAUACGAGUCAGGUCAAACUAGGUUAGGUCAGCUGGCUCUGUUGCUACAAGGUUUUGCCCUAGAACGUUCAUACCUUCGUACGAUGUCUCACCAACUGAUGUAGAGAUUGGCUGCCUUCUCGAGAGAGCAGGUUGUCUCCAAUUCACGCAAGGAGUCUAUGGUUUUCCAUAUGUAAUACACCUAAUAAUGGCCACUUAAAAUAUGACAAUUGAUAAUCAAAUAAAAAUUCCAUCUUUUAAAAAUAAAAAUAUUAAUUUAAGCAUGUAUUUUCAUUCAAAAAGCUUUUUGUGAUUUGGUAGGAGAUAAUAACCAUUAUUAAGAUACAAGCAUCAAGACCAUGAUUUGAAAUAAUAUGCAUCAGUAUUUUGGAGAAUAGUGUAAAUAAAAAUUCAGUGAAAAAUAAUUAAUGCUUAAAUAUAAUUAAUUUAAACUAGAUGGUUGGAGAUAAGGGCCAGUAAAAGGGAUUAAUUUGAGAAGUUAUUCAGGGAAUUAGAAAAAGGAAUAUUAUAUGAUUUGAGUUUUUGAGUUAGGCUAUUUUGGGUUUGGCUUGUUUUUUUUUCUUUACCAUAAUUAGACUUAGUGGUACAUUAUUUGGUUUGGGUUAGAAAUUACAAAAUUCAAACCGGACUCAACUUUUAAAUCAGAAGUAGUUUUGGACUUGAUUUGAUUCAUGGGUCUUUGCAAAAGGAUCGGUCAAGUGUACUUAGAUUGAGACCAAGUUGGGUCAUGGGCCGAAUUGAACCCUUUGCAGUCCUAGGUUGGGUAGAAUAUGUUGUUUGAUUUUCUUUUCCUAAAAAAUAAAUAAAGAAAAAACUUAUAAAAUAGCUCGUUAGGAAAGGUAAGGUCAACAUGGACGAUAAUGGGGUUAGGGCACGAAAAUAACUUUCACUAGUCAAAGCCUCAAAGGAUUAGAUUAAGAUAUCUUUGGAAAUAGAAAUUGAUCAUGGGCUUGACAGCCGAAAUUUAAUGGGCUUGGAUACUAAAAAUAGGCUUAUGGGACAUACAUUGGUGCAACAAAAAAAAGGUCCAAUCUAAAAACUGAGCCAGGCGUAAUCUGAAUAUUAGCAUGAUUCAACCCAAGAUAAUUAUAUGUAUUUAAUAUAUAUUACAUAUUAAUUUAUAUUUACAAUUAUAUGUUAUAUGUUAAUAAAUAAAUCAAUAUCAGGUUUGUUUGGUAGAGGUAUUACCCUUUCAGGAUCGAGCAAGGCCUAGACAAAAGUAAAGGUCCAAUAUCUAGGCCAGACCGAGCUUAGGUAUAAAUAUUGGGCCUAAUUUUGCUAUAAAGCCUAUCCAACCUGGCCCAACCCGACCAAUCCAAUAUUUAGUUAGCACGAUUCGAAAUUAGUUAUCAUAAAUUUUAGGGACCUUGUAUUAAUAUUCCCGAUACAGUUACGAGGUAAUUCAAAUAUAAUCCAAAAACUAGGGGCCUAUGACAAAUUAUGUCCUGGAGCUGGGAAAAAUUACAAAUAGCCUGCAUAUAUAACAUAUUUACAUCCCGAUCACUAGCAAUUUGUCCACUAUAAAUAUUGAGGGCCAACCAGUUCUUUUAUCGCAAAGAGAAUCGUUUCCUUGGUUUUCCACCGACCUUUCCCCGCUCCUUUUAGUUCCUCCUCUCGCUUUCGAUCUCCUUCGGACGCCAUCUCAGGUUCAACCGGUUCUUUUAUCUCAAAGGGAUCCCGUUUCCUAGGUUUUCCACCAGCCUUUCCUCGCCCUUCUUUUUAGUUCUUCCUUUCGCAGCUAGUUCUUCCUUUCGCAAAGGGAAUCCCGUUUCCUAGGUUUCCCACCGACCUUUCCUCGCUCCCUUCUUUUUAGUUCUUCCCUUCGCUUUCGAUCUCCUUCGAACGCCCUCUCGAUUUCGAUCUCCCGUCUCCGCCAUGGCCGUGCGCUUCAGGUUUCGGAGCUCCGCCGCCUUCGAGUCGGUGGACCUCGGUGGCCGCCCCUCCAUCUCCGUCAGCGACCUCCGUUCCAGGAUCCUCCACCUCGCCAACCUCCCGAUCUGCCGCGACUUCGACCUCCUCAUCUCCGACGCCCUCUCGGGCCACCGUACCCCCAUCCCCCUCUCUUUCUUUAUUCUUUUGUCGUAUUUUCUGCCUUUCUGGUGAUUUUUGGUGUUAUUUCUGGUAAUCGCAGCGUUCGAGGACGAAGAGUUCCAAAUCCCGGCGGGUUCAAGCGUUAUCGUCAAGAGAGUACCAGCCGGCCGAUUCGCGCCUUCGGAUCCGUGAGUUCUCUGUCCGUUUCUUUAAGCUUCGUUACUUCUUUUGUUUUCUUGAAUUGAAUUCGGUAGUCAGUCGUGGAUUUUUCCUUUUCUCGAUAGGGUAGGGGGGAACUCUGCAAUCAAGAACCGCGGGUUCGCAAAUGCCCUUGUUUCUUCACCUUCGGAGGUGAGAUUUGAGCUUUUGUUGUAAUGGGUUUUAAUGGAUGGGUUUAACUGGGAGUUGUAUUAACUUCUAAGCGUUGUGGUCUGCAUAUUGGUGUGAAUGCAUGUAUUUGAUUACUUUGAUUUGACGCCAUAAAUAUGAUGCUCUGAAAGUUAUUUUAUAUGACGAAUGAAUAUGAGUUGUAUUUCUGUGUAAUGCGGUCAAGGUGUAAAAAUGGUGGGCUUAACAAGGAAUUUAUGUAAGAAAAUGAUUGAGAAAAAAGAAAAGAGGGGGAAAAUAAGUGCUUUGAUAACAUUUCUUAUCAAGAAUUGGUAUUUAUCCUGAGAAUGGAAAUUCAAUGUGUGAUACAGGAAAAGUGACUGAUGAAAAAAGUUCCUGGUGACUAGUAUAUGCUAGGAAGACAUCUAUUUCCGUGCCUACGUGGAAUAUUUCGAAUCUAUAAUUGUCUGUAACUGCCAUGAUGAUGUUUCUAUUUUGGGUAAUGUAGCACGCGACAAAAGUUUGAACCAAUGCUGUGUCUAAUAAGUUUAGUAGCUUCAAAACAGAAAAUCCUAGACGAUAACAUAGUUGAUGGACAGUUAUUGGAAAAUAUGGGUGAUGAGAUAACUUCCUAUACACAGAAUGUGCACAACAAAAAUUGUUAUUCACCCUUUUAAGUGCAUCAAUUCAGAUCGAUGUACUUUUAUGCAAUAAACGUCUGGGUCGUGGCUGUGCAUAUUGUAGCGAACCAACAACUAGGAGAGAAUAAUAUCAAUAAUCAAUGUUACGUAGACACGUGACUGAGGCGUCAAGUCCAUGUUUUCAAAAGAGACACAAGAAUCCUAAAAGUUGGAUAUUGGCACAUGUCCAUAUUAUAUAUGUAUUUUUCUAAAAUAUGUAGAAAUGCAUUAAUAAUGAAUAACCUAUUGGAAUUUCUUAAUCUGAGAGAAUUCAUAGAACCUUGCUUGAAAAGACGAUCGGGAAACUUACUAGAUAUAACACAUUGCCAAAAUUGUUAUUUACUCCUUUUGAGUGCCCGAGUUCAAAAGCAACUUAUUUGAAUGCAAUAAACUAGUGGGCUCAUCCCUUUCCAUAUCGUUGUGAAUCAACAACAAAAAGACAUCAAAUCCAAGAAUUUCUUUGCAUAUUUGGGAGGGAAGCAAAAAGAGCUUAAGGCUCAUUUAUAGAAACAUGUGCUUAAGGCACCAGAGAACCUGAGGGUAAAUUAAAGAAUAGCAUAUCUUACACACAACUUACAUGAAGGGAAGUAUUUUUAUUCACGCUUUUUAUAUGUUUUCCUCUUUGGUUCCAAUCAAGGUACGCCGUCUCGAUACGGGACCUCGUACUGGUGCCACACUAUCACUGUGUUAGUAAUGUUGAUUCAGCGUACCGAGUGUUAGUGCGCCUCCCAACUCCCCACCGUGUACCGGCAUCAAACUGGUACGGUAAGGCACGCCCCGUACUAUCUACUUCGGUACGGUACAACAAACCUUGGUUCCAAUAUUAUAAAACAUGCAGAAGGAGCCAUUUGCACUUUGUCAUUUGAUGCGAUGAGGGUUGAAGAUUGGUGAGGGCAGAAGGAGACAUUUGCACUUUGUCACAUGAGGGCAGAAAAGGGCAGUGCAAAACCCUUAUAUAAGAUGGUGAACAGUUAGGAGAAAGGAAAAGGCAGCCUAGUUGGUGCUGUUUUGGGCUGCAGUUGAGCAUUUUUGGACAUCCCAAGUACAGAUCUGACCUUUUGGGUCUGAACCUGGUCCAUGUCACCAUAUUGCAGCUGAAAAUCUGGCCAGGUUGAUCUUGUAAACUGUUUUAGGUGUUAUAUCAUUCUAGUCAGUCGAAGAAUUUUAGGGGGCAUUGUAGGAAGUUAGUUGGGAUUUGGGGAGAUUUGAGGGUGCAACUUCUGGUUGGCUCAAGUAUGGGCUGGUUGCGCAUAUGAGUUGGAGUCAGCUGGCAUAAGGAUUUUUAACAUGAAAAAGAAGAAAGAGGGCCAAGUGGGCCUACCUUUCUUCCCUUUUUUUGUCGAUGUAACUUAAUUCUCUUCUUUUUCAGUUAUCUCCACUUUUUCUCUAGUACUCCUUGCAGACAAUAUCAGUUUAGAUUUGAUUUAGAACCAGGUUUAAACCAUUAAUGGUAAUUUUAUCAGCUAAUUAGCUGAUCUAGAUCUCUAGUUUCAUUUCAAAACUUCCUCCUGGAUCCCUAUAAUAUUUUAAAUCUUCUUCCUCUUCCUUGUUUGUUCAAAAACCUCCGAAAUCCUAUGCUAGAUCAGUUAUCGGUCCAUUAUCCAGAAGAUUUAUUAUAUGGCUUUUGUCCCUUCAAACCCCUUCUAGGUCAAUAGAACCUACACUUUACACCCUUAUAGUAACUCUAACCUCUGUACAAUUUGGGGAACCUCUGCGAUCCAGUUUCUUUCCCUAAAUAUUUUGGAUAUCUUACUUAAAACACUACCAACUAUCCUCUUAAGCUAGUGGGAAAAAGGAUAAUUCUGAAGCUCUUGGACGUUAUUUUGGAUAGCUGGCCUAAAACACUUCCAAUUCACCUCUUUAUGCUAGUGAUCCUUUGAACUUGCAGGUAGCCUUUGCCACCUAGGUUUAGUUAACCUAGACCAGCGAAGUUUCAUGCCAUUAAACACAAUCUACAAUAUUUAAUAUGUUUUAGUGAUUUGCUGCUGCGGCCUCAAAUGGUUACAGAAUGGAUAUUUUUUUUGUCCUUUCUUUUUGAUGCUACAAUACACUUUGAUGCUUGUAAACAUGGAUCAUGAAUUACUAUGGCCUCCUGUGCGUUUAGCGAACUAGAUCUAUUGUUGUGUCCUCUUGGUAUCCCAUUUGAGGCAGAAGAUGUUUCUGCCAGAUUUUUUUUCUAAUUUAAGGCUUAUUUAAUGUUAAAAGUAUGUUCGUCACUCUGAACUUUUAGGUCUGGAUGGUCCAACACGGAUUUUGCACAUAGGUGUUGGCUCAAAUCCUAUAGUUAUGCUUUUAUCUCAAAAUGUGUAAGGGGGUAUUCAAGUUGAUUAUUGGGUUCUAUAUGAGUAUAAUUCAUGUGGGACAAAGUCAAGUGGUAUGGAUACUUUUUCAUUGAAAAACAAGGAAAACAUUUCCCUUUUUUGAAAAUGUUCGGUUACUGAUCACUUGACACAUAGGUAAAAAAUCUCUAAAGCAUUUGAAAUUUAUUUUUACACAUGUUGAAUGCUGUAGAUAAUCAAAUUGAUGCUAAGGAUCAACAGAUUAAAAAGUGGAUGGUAGGCAUGUAGCGGCCAUAGGGUUUCAUAGCGGAAAAUAGAUAGCGGGCAUUGUGAACCCAAAGCAGCCUGUUGAAACAUAUCAAUAUUUUUUUGUACUAAGUAUCAAAAAUUAAUACUUUAUAUCAACUUUAGUAAAAGAAAAAUCAAGGACAAAGCUUUUAAACAUCACCGACCAAACAUUAUAAGUUAUGUACAUAGUAAGUUAUACCUUCAUAUGUUUAAUUCAAUGAUUAAAACAUGCAUAAUUUCUAAAUAGACUAUUCAUAUGGCAUGACCUGAAGAUAUAUCACUAUCAUUUAACGCAUUAGUAAGCUUGGGCCAUGACCUUUGUCUAACAGCCAUCUCCCUUCCAAAUGAUCUAGUAGCUCUUGUAUAUAAGGGAAUCUCCACUGAAUUUCAUCUUAAAUUUUCCCGUUAGGAUAAAAUUUCAAAAUGCACUCAAUCAGCCAUCCAUAAUUUGCGCAUUGUUUUCAAUUUUAUUAUUUUUGGCAUAGAAGAAGUAGGAGUUCAAGAAGUAGCCCUUGUUUUGCGAUGAGCCUUGUGGUUUUGCAUCCCAUCUUGAAGCAAUAAUUGUCCAAAUUAAAGGUACUUAUUCUCAUCUUCUUUCAAAUGUAAGGCUAUUUCCUUCUUCAUCUAGUCACCCAAUAUAUUACUUGUGGCCAUGCCUAAGCACUUGUUCGAAGGGCUCCCACAAUUUCAAAGCAAAUCCAAAAUUUGGAGCUCAAAACUAUGACUUGGAUCUUCCUUCCUUGAUCUUUGUUGUACCAUUCAGAAUUCUCUCAAUUACUAACUCUGCCUUCUUACUUAUCAUACUUUGCAAGCUCAAACAAUAAGUAAGAAACCAAGUCUUUCUUGGUCUCACCAAAUUCUUUUUUGGUGAACUUUCUUAUCACGCUAAGGUUAAGGUAUGCCCAUAUAAACUUGUUUUGGCAUAUACCAUUCACUAUAACCAAAAGUGUAGUGGUCGUUUUAGUAGUUUUACAUGCUAUAUCGGGCAUUAUGGGCCCAAUGCUAUAAAAGGCUGCUGUAGCACAUAUCAUAGUGGUUUAGGUCCAAGCUGCUAUAGCAGCUGCUAUGGUCGAUUUUUUAAAACAAUGCUAAGGAUACCCAUAAAAGUCCAUCUAUUACUUGGCAAGAUAUUCACCUUUUCUAUUUAAAGCUUACUAAAUGUCCUCUAGAAAUGUGAAGGCAACAUUAUGCCGGAUUAGAAAGCUUUUUUGAGUUUCCAAGCUGUUUGCUUUAAAAGGAUUGGCAAGAGUUGAUCAGAACGAGAGCUGAUCAUGGGACGGGCCUUGGGUCUAAACUCUAUUCAUUUUUAAUCGGGCUUCAGACCGGGCCUAUGUAAAAUUUUAUAUUUUGUAUGCCCAAGCCUGGUCCAUGAUCAGCUUUAAUCAUAACAUAUCAUGAAGUUUGAAUGUAUUCCCUUAAAAAGAACUAGAUUGAUAGCAGUUGCCAACAUGGAAGUAAAGUUUUCUUGUGGGCUUCGUAUUGCACCUUAUGGUCCUUAUCAUUAUAAAUUCCAUGUUAGCUUGUUUUAGAAACCUUUUCAUAAUUGUAGAUUGCAUUUGGGCCAAUAAUGCUGCCUUCACGUGUCUCUAUGGAAUUUAGUAAGCUUUAAAUGAUUGCAAGCAAGAUACGCCGUCUCGGUGCUAGGCCUUGUACCGAUGCUAUGCUAUCACUGUGUUGGUACGGUAUGGUAUAGGGUUCGUUCGACAUACUAAGUGUCGGUACACUCCUUAUACGAUACCGAACCGGUACAGUAUGGUACGUUCCAUACCUUCUGUACCGCUCAUUUGGUGCGGUACGGCAUGACAUACCAUGGUUAAAAGUGACUACUUUGAUGCAUGCAGAUGGAUUUUUAUGGACACCCUCAGCAUUUUGAUUCUAAAUAUUCUAUAACAAAAAUGAAUUAGGAUGCUGGGUUUGAUAGCUAUAGUAUCAAACCCAUAUCUAAGAUGAAUGUGCUUCUGCAUCUACCACUGUCUAGUUGCUUCUCUUAGGACUUAUUUUUCUGUUGUCAUUCCGUUUGGGUAAAUAUGUGGGAGGCAUGUAAACUGCAUACGGUUCAAUAGAGCAACGAUGGUUUUGCUUGCAAUCUACUCUAUUUUCCUCUCUAGCUUUGUCAGCUUUCUUCUACAACAAAUACUUCUGUUGCAUAAUUUGUAUUUGGUUGUUAAAAUGAUGUCUUGAAGGAAUACUAAAGAGGGACUUGUAUCAUCUAUUACCAAAAGCUUUUAUGCUAUAUAUAAUUGUAUGAUAUUUGCUUAUCGUUAAUGGGUUUUUAGCUUCAUCCCUAUUUGAUGUCUUGUUUGAGUUCAACUAUUCUUAUGUCCUACUUGGUAACCCUCUUACAUAUGUGAUCAUGAAUAGGAUAAAUCGUGCUUUUUUUCUUGGGAUAUAUCAUGUGCUUUCUCACUUGCAUAUUCCAGGAAAAUUUAUACAUCAUCACAUUUUACAAAUGUCUCUUUGUUUGCAGAAUGUUGAAAUGGAUGGCUUUGAUGACUUUGGUAAUGAUUUGUAUCCUGCUCUUGAAGCACCUUUACCAGAGUCGGAUGCCAAUAUUGCCAACAUAAAUAUAUUUGAUAAACAAGAUGAUAUUUCAAGGUGCAAUAUUUUGAUGAUUUCUUAUUUUUUGAUCUAUGUAUCUCAUAGAAUUUUAUGUUGUGAUUUUUAUCAUUUUUUGCUUACCCAAUUGUGUUUUCCUUAGUUUGGAUUGCAUCUUUAUCUUUUAGUUAUAUAUUUGGUCAUGUUACUUUUUUUCUGUAACUUCUUCAUUUUUGUUCUUAUAACUUCAGUUAUUGACAUGGUGGGCCAGAUGGCUUUGCAAGUGGUUACUGUAGGUUAGUUCUUGGAAGAUUUCUCUAGAGUCUAUUUACUAAGGGUAUGCAUGGACAUGGGUAAAUGUAUGGGUCAUGAGAAGGAUUUGGCUAGAAAGAAAAACUUAUUACUUCAAUUAUCAAGUACAUGUGGAGAAUAAUGUUAAAUGGUCAGGAUUCAUAAGUUACAGGGUUAGUUGUUCAUAGUUCGUUAUAAAUUCGCAAUCUCGGUACUAGACCAUAUACUAGUACUAUGUUGGUACAAUGUUGGUAUUGCUUGAUAUGGUGGUCAGUUCAACGUAUUGACACUUGAUAUACUUGGUACAGGGUGGUAAGCACUGGUAUUGUGAACCUUGAUUUGGACUAUUCUGCAAUUAUUUAUUUAGUAGAAUUAGUUAUAUGGUUUUACUUAUUGCUUAUUCUAGUCUUCUUAGGAAUAUACAAUGGAGUGGUAAUUUGAUAUCUAAAUAAAAACCAAAGUAUGAGCAGGAGUUGAAUAGUACGAGGCAUAAGAAAGUCUUCAAGUAAGAAAUUUUCCAUUUUUUUUGCAUCAUUGCUCUGGCAUAAUCAUGAUGGGAAAUGCUUCUGUGCAUCAAAUUUUCAAUUAAUAAGAAAUAUUCUGAUCAAAUUUGCCAUCGGUUCGAAUGGUGGAUUUUGAUGGCUGUCAACCUUUUUAAAUGUGCUUUUGUAUAGGAAAAAGGGGAAAUAACUUGACUUGAUAUUCUUUGCUUGAAAAGAAUAGCAUGAACAACAAAUUUCAAACCCCAACUCAUGAACGAUGAAGAUAGAGGUUUACAAUCGUGAAAAGCUGGAUGGAGAAAUCUAAUGUAGAGUUGGCGAGUGGUAUAACCUAAUAUAUGAAAUGUAGCUUUCUUGUGGGAAUAAAUAUGCAAUGGGGGCUGAAGUUGAAUUGGUGGCCAGUAGUUACCUCAUUAUAGUGAUUAUUUAGUUUGAUAUUCAUGCCAAAUAAUGGAAGGGUAGAUGGAGGAAUAUAAUAGAAUUGGCUUUGCAGAUUAUGUUGAGGAUUGCCCCAAAAGUUGUUGGUCACUUCUUUGUAUAUGCCUUGGAUUUGCAAAGGAAAACUUUGUAAGAAAAAUGAAAUUCUUAUGUUUCAUGAAUUAUGAUGUUGGGGAUUAUGAAGUGCCCAUCUACAUAAAAUGUGCAUCAUAGAGAUGGAGAUGUUGAGUUAAAUCAUUGAGGUUAAGUUGGCUAUUAGGUGUAUUGCAUGAAAUUAUAAGUGCCGCCUUAGUCAUGGUUUUCAUUUCGAAUGAGGUCUUGGUCAAGAUAUUGGUUUGUAUUGAUAUGGAGCACCCAUCGAUAUGAUAUAACUGAUAUCUUAGCCCUUAUUAUGUUGGCUGACAUAUCUUGAUAUAUUCCAAUAUAUUAGUUGAUACAAUAUAUUACACAGGCCAAUUUUUUCUAAUCAUUGUGUUACAUAUUUGAAUUAAGUUUUUAAGUAUUAAAUAAUCAAAUUAGGCCUUGUUUGUUUUUUCCUUUUUUAAAUAGAAACAUGGAAUCCAAUGCAGAAAAGUCUUGUUUUUGUUUUUGUUUCAAAACAACUUUCAUUAUUUCUGAAAAAAGUGGAAGUGAAAAAUUCUCACUUUCACUUUUUUUAAUAGUGUGUUUUCACCUCUCUCAUCUCGAUUUCUCUUCUUCUGCUCGAUCUUGCCCUCAACCCUGUCGCCUUUGCCUAACCAUGUCGGCUCCCCAGGCCUCGUUGGUCACCUCUUCACCCGAUACCAAGCUACUCCUCGUCCUCGAUUGCGUCGCUAGUCCCUUCCCCACUCCCACUCCCUCAGUUGCCUCUCCACCCGACGUCGAGCUCUCCCAUGUCUCCAGCUGCAUCGCCGGCCCCAUCCCCCCUCUCCCUCGUCGCCUGCCACGUUGCGAGCCCUCAUUGUCAACAAAAAGAGCGAACUAAACAUGUUUUUAGUCUUCUAAUGUGGUAAUUAACUUUAGUUUACCAUUAUGGCUGAGACUUUAAUAUCUCAAUUCCUAUAAUAUAAGCUGAAAAAUUGGGGAAUCUAAGGAUAUGCCGGAUCUUUCCAAUUUUUCUAGGUUUCCUUCUAGGCCAAGAUAACUGAGAUUGCAGUCAUCUUGGUAUAAGCUGCCCACUGAUGGCCAAGAUUACUGGCUUUAAAAACCUUGACCUUAAUUUGUCGAAGUGCCAGACACUUAACUGAGAUGUUAUUAGCUUGCAUGGACAUCAAAGAUGUUUCAGUAAGGACAAGGAUUAAAGUUGUGUCUACUGGUUAGAAAAGGGGAGAGCAAGAGCUAAGUUACUUUGACCGAAGUUGUGCAAAAUGACAUUGAAAAGCUUGCUUUGAAGAGGUCGUUCAUGUGGAAAGGAAAGAGCAUUCAGUCAAUUUAGAUGUUUGAUCUUACUCUUCUGAGGGUCACAAGGUUUUCUUUUGAUUUUUGGGCCAGGUUAGCCGUGGUCCAUUGAACUCAAUGAAUUUAUAGUCAUUUUUGUUUAGUGGUUGUCUUUGUUCCUGUAGUGAGAUUCUUCACAGGAUGCUGUGGGUGGUGAUAUCUUUUUUUCCAGUCUAUCUAGAAAUUGUCAGCANNNNNNNNNNNNNNNNNNNNNNNNNNNUAGUGUUUAGACACCUCACUUUCAGUGGGUUAGCAGGCAGGGUAUUCAUUGUGGUCUGGGUUGCCGGCAACUAAGUAAUGUAAGAAAUAUUAGCCACCCUUCGCCGCUGGUCUGCAAGUUGAAGGUGGCAUAAAAUUUUCCCACCCUAUCAUAAAAUGAUCAAGUGGCUGAUCUGCCCUACAUUUCCUUUAAGCAGUUCGGGAUAAUCUGAGUGGGUUCUGAUCAAGGGCAUUGUAUUCCAAAGCCAAUAAAUGUGUGCUCCAAUACAAAUCUCCAGUUCAAGUGUAUCGUGUUCAAGUUUUUCCAGUGGCAUUGCUUCAAGUUCUACUCAAAAGGUUGCUUGACCAAAUUCUAUUGUUCUCAUUGUUGGUUCUGAAUGCUUUUUCAGACAUGCCUAGGGAUAAUGCAGAAUUUCUCUCUCGAUAGUAACUAUAUAUGAAUUUGGUUCAUUGUUUCCUAUGAUGGGUUAUAAAUUUUUGGCAUUACUGUAAGUUUUUAAGAUACUAUUUGCUUAUUCCUAAGGUCUUAAACUUGAUUACUUGUACCUUCUUUGGCUUCAUAUUGUUCUUGAUGAACCAGAUUGUAAUUUGUGUCUGAUGACCUAGAUCCUUGGAGACUCCCAUCUCAAGAUGUCAGAACAUUGAAGGAAGUGAUCUUAGUGAAGCUAUGUCAAAGGGUAAAUAUUUUUUCUGCUUUAAUAUUAUUCUUUUGGAAUGAUCUAAAGAUACUUGAGUCUCAUUAUUUUUAGUUCCUUCUUUCACAUAUGGGAAAUAGCAGAAAUCAUCAGGGACAACUAUAGUAUUGAAUGUGAUAUUGACAAUAACAAGAAGCAAACAAAGCUGAAGUCUAAGAGACAAGAGCAAAAUAAGUUUGAUGAGUAAGACCUUUUCUUCUCAUUCAUUUCUUUUUCCAUUUGUGCACAAUAUUAUAAUUAUUCAAAUGAUUGCUUGGUUUCUUUUUUUGUCAUUGUAUGCCCCCUUGAUCAUUCCAGAGGUGUUGGUUUGUGCUCCCCAACAAUGUUGAAUGCUGAUCUGCCACCAGAAUUGAGAUGCUUUCUUUGUAACACAAUCUUUAAAGAGGCUGUGAUGAUACCAUGCUGCCAACAUAGUUUUUGUGACAAGUGUAAGUUAUAUAUGAAGAGCCUUUAGGAAUUUUUACUGUUUAAUAUAACAAUUUUACACUUUGCAGUUAAUAUGAUUCUUAAACUUUUAAUUUGAAAUUUGCUUUGGGUUUCAAAGCACUAUCCUUUUCGUAUGGUGUAAAAAUUGCUCUGAGAAUUGCUUAAUCUUAUGCUAACGGUGAAAGCUUGCUUGUUCCUUUGAAAUCUAUUGAACUAUGUUGCUUGGCUGAUUGCACACUUCUUAGCAGGCAAAAUCUAGGGUGCGCCACUUGCUGCACUCUUUUGUUCUUACAGCUGCGUCUUGUGAUUCAUCUAACUGAAUUUGGUCAACUGUCUCACUUUGCUUCCAUGUAAUGUUAUCAACUGCUCUGUAUUUCCCAAGAUACAAACUCCAAUUUAAUGAAUUCUUGCUUUGCAUUAUUCAUAAUUACCUUUUGAUUAGAUGUUUCCUAGGCACGUCUAGUUUUUAAACUUUUGUGGGACUUGCUUCCAAUCGAGGCUACUUAGGAUCAACUUGAACAUCAGUAUGCCAACUACUCUAUGCCUUAACGUCCUUCUAUUUUAUGUACAUAUGUUUAUGUAUGUCUGUGUGUGUGGUUUUGAGGUAGCUAUCUAUCAGUUGGGUUUAACCUCAAAUCUUGUGAAUGCAAAAUAUAUGAUAGAUCUUUUAGGUUAGAAUUUAUGCCAUUAGUCAUGAUAUGCAAUAUUAAAAAUGCAAGGAACUUGAGUCAGAUUUUUUAAAGUUCUCUACUUAUCCGUUGAGCGCUCAAAAAAUGUACAGCUUGUAAUGGCAAGAUUUGUUGAUUUGCUCUGUUUAUAGUCUAAAAGCACUAAACCAGUGUCAUUUGGUCCCCAUAAGAUGUAUAGAUCAUAGCCUAUGGAAGUGGUACUAUCUCGAACUGCCCGGUUCGGGGCGUACCGAGCCAAACCAGAGGUGGAUCAGCUGUCUGCCGACUUCAUUUAAAAAAAAAAAUCAAAAAAUGGGGCUAGAGACCUGCUUUGGUUUCGAAACAUGGACUUUGGCCCUGUUACGCCACAGCCAAAGGAGAGGGGGCCCGAAAGGCCUCUCCCUCUCCCUCCUCUCUUCCGCUUUUUUCCCUCUCCCUCCUCUCUUCCGCCUUUUUCCCUCUCCCUUGCCCUCCCUCCCUCUCUCUCUUCCUCUCUUUCGUUAUGUUGCGGUGUCAGAGGAGAGGGGGCUUGAAAGCCUUCUCCCUCUCCCUCUCUUGGCCUCUCUAUCUCCCCCUCCCUCUUUCCCUCCCUUCCUCACUCCCUCUCUCCCUCCCCCUGCUGCUGCUCUCUCUCUCUCUUUUCCUCUCUUUCCUUCUCUCUCUUCCCUUCUCUCGCCGCCUCCUUUGUUGGUGCGCUGCGAGUUGGUACGACAUGAUAUCAUACCAUAUCGUACUUUCGUAGGGCAAUCGGUAUGGGUCCCAAUACUAGUCUCGUUGACCUUGUCAUAGCCAAUGGUAUGAAUUCUCAUACAAAAUGGUUUGCCCCUAGGUCUACUGUUCUCACCUAUUCUUUGUCCGUAGGAUGCAUAAGUUGUAAUGACUAAGAACCUCCCUCAGAAAGGACUAGUCAAAAGGUUCUAUCUAGUGCAUAGCUGAUACGGAAUUAAACAAACUCCUGCAUGGGUCUUCACAUUUAGUUCCACAUUGGUUGUAUGUUGGGUUGUUAAAAUGGUAUCAAAGCCAAGGAUUCCAAUUAAUAACUUAUGUCUAGCAUUUUAGGUGAGAUCCUGGGUUGUUAAAAUGGUAUUAGAGCAGAAUCGGUCUAUGCUCUGUUUGGAUUAGGGAAUACUGGAACACAAUCCCAUUUGUGGUUGAUCAUGAGCCGAUCGUGGUGUUUUUUAUUUUGAUUGUACUUUUUUUAUUUGGAUGUCAGGGCUUAAAUGGGGAGAUUGUGCAAGGACCCAUAUUGGCUUGUGUUUAGUCCCACGCUAGUUGUGUGUUGGGAAGGUUUUGGAUACACAAGCAAGGCCACGGACUCAAAUAAAACGUUUUGGCUGGACCUUUUUAGGUGAGGUCUUGGGUCAUUAUGUAGCUCACGAACUUCCAAAACAUUUGAUUUUUGGUUUUAGGCAGUAUAAUGUUUUACAUAGCAACCAAUGAAGAUACAUCAUACGUGAUAUGUCACCUCUUGAUAAUUUCUGAUGAUUGUCACUCAUUUUAGAAAGGACUUAUGUGCCCACAAGAUUGAAAAGAAGACAUGAUUCUUUGUAGGAGUGAAUGGAUUGAACUGUGCUUCCUUAGAAAGGUUCUAUCAUUCCGCUCCCACCAAACUCCCCAACAAAUAGCAGUCCUGCCCUUACUUCCAAAGAUUUCCGAUUUUUACUCUCAAAUAAUUUAACGGCAACUAGAUGGCCACCUGGGAGUUUUUUAAAAACAUACCCAAAGCCUCCUUUACCUAAUUUUUCUUUAAAGUGGCAUGUGAUUGCAGUAACACCGGUGAGGCAUACCUCGUUGGUGCUAGGGUUCUAUGAUUUCGAAGAAACUUGUCCAGAGUUUAUUGGCAUCCAUAUUCUCCAAAAUAUGACCAGUAUUGCCAGCGCUGCAAAUAUAAGUUAUCUAAAGAUCUUUGAUGUAAGUUGUUAUUUAUAAAGAUAAGUAAGCAAAAUAGUUUGAGCCGCGGGUCUCAAAAUCAUUUGGGAUUUUACCUAUAUAGAACUGUACAAUGACAAUCCAUAUUGUCACGCCAAGUGUGAUCCAGUAAACAAAAGUGUAACUUGCCUUGUAAUUAUAACAUUUUACAAAACUAAUCUCACUUAGUUUUAUUAAGGAGACCAAAGAUAGAAUCUGUUUGCUCUUAAAAUGAUCGAAAAACUUACUGCAUGUCAUGUGAAGGAAACAAAUGAGGAGAUGAAUACAAUUAUACAUGUUUCUUAAAAAAAAUGAAAGAGAAAAAAGAAAGCAAAGAUGAUCUGUGGGCUAUUAUCCAGCAGCUCAAGUUUAGACAAUGCAUUUGGAAAAUAGAUGCAUAUAAAUGAUGGCCGUGCACCUCCAUACUUCUCUGAGACAGGAGUGGAUGAUAUGAAGACUUGUGAAUCUGCUAGGCUUUUUCCACAAAAUAGUGCACCCCUUCAAUGAGAGUUUGAAAAUAUUUUUGUUGAAUUCAUGACAGGAGCAUCAGUGGCCAUGAAGACUAUAGCUAAAAGUCUGCAGUAGGUUUCACGAUACCUCACUUCAUAUGCCCCUCUAUCUUCUAUAACAUAGACUAAUUUGUUAUUCCGGUUCAGGCAUGUAACAGGCCAAUACAUUUCAAUUGUGUAUUGCUCGAGUACAGUGUACAAAACUAGCCCAUGCCCAUACAAGAUAGAAGUAUAAAUUAUGGGAGGUCUCAUUUGGUGACCAGGACUCAAGGGGAAGGUGACAACUACCAUUUGCCAAGCAUGUAUUGACGAUAUUAAUUGCCUUAAAUUCAUAUGAGAUUUUGGUGACCUAGUGCUUACCUAAGUGAUAGUCAAAGGUAGUUUUGUUACUAUCACAGAUAAGUUGAUAUUUUGGAUUCGCACAUUCAAUCUGAUCCUCUUUUAAAUUGUAAGCGUAUCUGAUAUCUUGGAGCUGUUCACAAGAUGAUGGAGAACAGCUACUUGCUUCCAAAGGCCUCUAGCUAAUCCAAUAGUGGAGAUGAGAUAUUAGAGUAGAGAAUAGAGAGGAAGUUGCUGCAUCACAAUGCUGCUGGUUGAUUCCAGAAUGGAAUGAAACAUAAGCAUGCCGAAACAUGAUUGAGCACGGAGGAUUAGUUAUAUAAGACACCUCUGGAAAUUUCCCAUCUCAAACUUGUCUGAGAAAAAUAGUCGACUCUGACCUAAUUGGAGUCUAUCUGGCAUUUUGAACCAGAAAUUUUGAAUCAGUAGUCACACAAUGAUGGUCUCUUUUAAUAUGAUUAUGGAGCAGUUGGGACUAAAAUUUUAAAUCAGUAUUAACACAAAGAUGACCAAAAGGUCCGGUCCAAUCUGGCUGUGCUUGAUUUUUGCGUCAAACCUUGAAAUGUUGGGGGGAAAUGAUUACUCCUUCAAAACUACCUAAGCCACAGUGAUCACCUGUUAUUCAAUUAUUUGGGAUUUACUUCGUAAGUUCUUCUCAGAUUUGUAGCUGAAGUUCUGGUAAAAAUCAAUUGAGCUAGCUCAAGCUCACAUUGAUUGAAACAUAAACCAAGCUUGAGCAUAGCGUGUCUUGCUUGAGUUCAGCGCACUCUCCCAACAGUUGAAAUAGAUUUUUUUUAAUGCAAAAAGGAGGAAGCGAAAAGCUUCCCCUCAUAUUAUUGAGACGGUAGAUGCCCUUUUCAUCUAAAAGUUGAUCUAGCUGAAGGUAGGGAUUUAAAGUGUCAACUAGUUUGUGAUAGCAACAAAACAGUCUUGGACUAUCACUCAGGCAAGUAUUAUGUCAUCGAAAUCUCAUUAGUAUAAGAUGAUCAAUAUUGUAGGUAGAAGCUUGGCAAGUGGUAAUUGUCACCUUCGCUCAAGUCCUGGUCAGCAAACAGGAGCUCUAAUGAUUUAUACUUCCAUCUUGUAUAGGCAUGAUUUUUCUCAACUUGUCUGAGAAAAAUAGUUGACUCUGAUCUGAGUCUAUAGGCAAUUUUAACCAGAAAUUUUGAAUCAGCAGUCAUGCAAUGAUGAUCUGGUUUAGUAUGUCCAUAGGUCAACAUAAAAAUCCCCAAAAGGUCUGGUCGAAUCUGGUUGUGCUUGACUUAUGCAUCAAGACUUGAAAUGUUGGGGGGAAAAUGAUUACUCCUUCAAAGCUACCUAAGCUGCAAUGAUCACCUGUUAUUCAACUGUUUGAGAUUUUGCUUCGUAAAUCCAUCUCAGCAUUUGUAGAUGAAGUCAGGUAAAAAUCAAUUGAGCUGGCUCAAGCUAAUAUCGAUUGUAAUAUUAGCCAAGCUACUUGCUCGAGUUCAGCUCUCUCGCGACAGAAGGAUGUAAAUGUGUAACAUGGUCUCUCUUUGCUCAAAUAAAAGGUAAUCUGAUCUCUCUGUUGUACGAAUGAUAACAAUGAUUAUGGAUGUUAGGAAACUCAAUUUCGGAGAAAAAUGUGAAAACAUAAUUGAACUUAUUGUUUUUCCAAUGAAUUAAAAUAGAUUUUUUUAUGCAAAGAGGAGGAAGCAAAGAGCUUUCUCUCAUUUUAUUGAGCUCAGAAUAAUUUACAAAGAGUGAACAGAAACAAAAAAAAAAAAAAAUAAGAGUGGGAAGGGGCUGGUGAGAAACAGGGGAAGGCGAGUUAAAAACAGAAGAGAAGACAUAGCAAGUUGAGGAAGCAUACAUUGAACUAUGCUUCCUUAGAAAGGUUCAAUCAUUCUGCUUCCUUCAAACUUCUCAACAAAUAGCAGCCAACAGUUGAUCUCCUGCUCUUCCUUCCAAAGAUUUCGAAUUCUUGUUCCCCAACAGAGACUCUUUCCAAAGACUUCCAAAGACUCUAUUUAUUAAUUCAGGAUUUUUCUUUAAAUUAGACCAGUUGAUUUUAGCAUUAAAACCCCUUUAGGUGAUUGAUACGUACCUGACAUUGGUAUCUUAACCAAGAGAAUCAUGGGUAACAUAGUGUAUGGAUGGCUUUCUACUAUUAUGGUGGGGACACCUGAUAAGAUCACAAAAUGGAAGAAAGCGAAAACACUUCCACUUAUUAUUUAUUACCUGUUAUUCAAAAUUUUGGUUAGGCUUGGCUAGUUCAAACAGAUUCCAUGGAUUUCUGUGUCUUAUGCAUGAUGUAUUAAACUUGCUGUAGGUAUUCGUUCAGCAUUGGUUGAGAGGGCAAGAUGUCCCAUGUGUUCUUCCACCAGGUGCACUGUUAAAGACCUAUUGCCUAAUUUGUCACUUCGGCAGGCUAUUGAACAUUUCCUUGAGGCACAAGUGGCAGUUAAUGACUUAGAUAAGAACACUCCUAAAUAUGCUCCAGGUGAAAUAAAUUUAUAAUCCUGACUAUAAUAAUUGCCUGAUUAUUUGUUUCAGAUCUAUAUGUUAUUGCAUUCUUGAAUUGUAUGAAUUCAGAUGGGGAAUCAGGAAUUCAAGCAAAAGAAUUGUCUUGUGCUGUGUCUGUUCGUCAACAAGAACCACAAUUUCCAAACUCUCCUUCUGCAACAGGGAAGGGAUCCAAUCAGAUUAUGAUUGAAUCAGCAUAUGAGAAUAAAAGAAGUGCUGGUAUUAAUAUUCUUUUAGACACAGCUAAGUCUGUGAAAUCAGCUCCAUCAUCGCAUAAGGUCAACCAGAUAAAAGGUGAUGAAAAUAGCUCUGCAGAAGCUUUGAAGCAGAUGCAUGAGUUGCAAGAAUGUGGUAGUUCCUCAAAGUUGCCUCAGAGUCUUCCAUUGAACAAAGAAGGUAUGGUGCUUGCCGAAUUUGCGUUGUCUAUGAUAUGCUAGUGGUGCAUCAAAUUUCUAAAAUUGGAAGCAACAAACAUUUAUCUUUAAAAAUAGCAAUUGGGGACCACCACAAUACUGCAUCCAAGUAUCCAACUUGCAUUAGCACUUUUUAGUAAAUAUUAGGCAGCUUAGAUCUUUUGAAAUAGUUUUUUGGCAGUAUCUAUAUGUGCACCACUUAGAAAUAUCAUUUUGAACUUUUGAACCUGAGAACAGCACUGCCACAUAUCAUACAGAAUAACAGAAUAAUCUUAUGGUAGUAUAAUCUUUGAGGCUAAUCAUAUAAUGUAAGGUAUAUCUUGAUUCUGACAGUAUUACUUUAGAAAGAGACAAGCAACAUGUCAGCACUCUAGUUUAGAAUUGGUCUUGGCUGCAACUUUGGUUGGUUUCCAGCUUACAUAUGACUGUCAAAUUUAACUUUGCAUGAACUUGCAUGAACUUGCUGGCUAGUUUGAAUUUAUUACCAACUUCUCUUAUGUACGAUGGUUCCCAUUAUUCCAGUUAAUUUGACUAUCCAGAGAAAGAAGGGGUCUGCCUUUAACACUCCAGGUAAUAUUAGUUGUUGCAAAUGCUAAUUCAUUCCUUGGUUUGUAAAACGCCAUUGCAUAUUUUCACUUUAUUGUUGCACAUGCUUCACAUUUUGCAGAUGGAAGCGGGGCUUUAAUGCCACCGAGUAAGAACAGAAAGGUGAUUUCAUCUUAGUUUCUCUUUGUUGGUAGCAUCUUGGUUUCCUUGAGCAUGGACUUCAUAGAUAUCCACGGAAUUUAUAAUGCAAAGCUGGUCAACUUACGAUAGAAGGUUGUAUUGUUAACUACCUGCAACAAGUGGCUGCAUGACCAGUAAUUUGGGAAUUUGGUGGAAACCUAUUAUUUGCUGGUCAAAAGGUGUGGCUUAUCAUAAGAGGGUGGUGGCAUUAUGCAUUAUCACAUAAUAAAUUAGGAUUGUUUCGUUUUAAGCUAAUUGUGGAGGGAGAAGCUAAUUGUGGAGGGAGACGGGGAAUAGGCUGAUACUAUCACUGGUGUUUGCAACUUAUAUCUGGUUCUCUAGUUCGUGGUGAUCCAAAUGCUUCAUAGUUGUCAUCAUUUAAAUCUUUUGAAUGCUAUUAUGCAAGGUUUUGCCAAGUGUUUUAUUUUGGGAGUGCUUUUAUGUUGGAAUUCUGAUCUAGUUUGUCAAAGUAACAGGGCACCCGAAAUUGUUACAUGUGUGGCUCCCCUAACCAUUUGGUUCGUGAUUGUCCAGCAGCUUCCAAUCCAUACCCAGGUAAUUAGAUUAUUAAGGUGCACUUAUCUCAGAAGUAAGUAAACAUAAAAAUGUUACGGUCCUUAUGAGGUGUUCUUUUGCCAUGAGUUUUCAGGAGAUGCUGCAUUCCCUGGGGGCAUCUCAGCUUAUGGACAUCCUUUCUGGCAUGGGGCUUCAUUACCCCAUUUUAGGCCUUAUGCAAAUAUAUAUGGUGCCCCUGGUGUGAUGCCCUUUGAUCCAACUGUUCUCCAAGUUUCACCUUUCGGGAUGCCUUCAUAUAUGCCAUCAUUAUAUGCUGGCAUGGCAGGACCCUAGUAAGCUACCCUUUAUGUCUUCACACUUAUCUUAUUUCUACCCCCACCUUAAGGGCUUAAAUUUUACUGAACUCACUUAAUGAUUUAUAAACUGUUGUAUUAGAUGUCAGAAUCAUGUUUUUAAUUAAUUUUUCACCAGUUUGAUGAGGAUGGGAGGUGUACCACCUCCCUUGAUGGCUGGAGCAGAACAUCCUCUUUCUCAUGCUGAAUUUAUGAAUCUUCAGGAUGGUGAACGGAAGCCCAAGCUUUUGAAUGAAUGUCGAGAGAGGUAAUAAUAUUAAGUUCCAUCUGAAACUUCAGCCUCAUUCUCAUCUGGUUUAUACAUUCAAAGGUUCUGCCUUAUAAAAUAUUUGUAAGUGUUGCCUGCUGAAUUAUUGACUGUGUGAUAGAGCGAACUUCUCAUGGCCUUGAAUGCAUAGGUUGUACACCUUAGUCUGGACCAUGUUACUAGUUUACCCUUUUUCAGAUGCAUUGUUGGUCAAAAGUUGCACCACUUUCAUCUCAACUGCAUAUCCGAUCUCUUAUGUUUGAUAGCUCUUUGUAUUUCUUCUAAUUGUCACUAUUUGAAGGUCAAAUGGUCAAGUCAGUGUUAUAAAUAUUAGUAAUGGGGCUUUUUGUCGCCCUUGCUUGAGUUUGACUAUUAAUUUCAUUUUCCAAUGUUUUGCUGCUGGCAGUGGUGGCUAUCACAAAUCUUUCAGGUUAUGGUCAAUAAAUAAAGGCCUUCUGUUGGUCUGCUGUACAGGUGUCCUCUAUAUUCUUGUUGUGGAUUUUCACCAAAACCUAUAAAUUUGGCUCAUUCAAAAAGAAAAAGAAAAAGAGGAAGGACUAGACACAAAGUUAUUGCUAAUAAUAACUAAGAGAAAUGUACUUACAUACUUUUGAUCUUAGUUGGUUUGAUAUUUUAAAAUCUCUGUUUAUUUGCAUAUUUCGAGAUCUAUUUCUUUUAAAAAAAGAAAAUUCUGCUUAGAAUUUAUAUAAUCUAAUUCCUUUUGAGGCAUCUAGCAACCUAUAUUUAGUUCUAAAUAAUUAUAUAUGACUAGUGUCUGGAAUGUGCUUUGCUUGUGACUUAAAUGAAAGAAAAGAAGGUAGUGGCCUCAUAGAAGAGGGGGAAGACUGUUACCCAGUUUUGGUCCUGGUAAUCUGAGGUCCUAGUAGGGGCAGAUUGGGGACUGACCUAACCUUUGCCAUAUUUUGUACGAAGUGGCUGGCCCAUACUCGGCCAUGUUAGUCCAACUGCUGGAUGUGGUAUUGGUAAAUCAAGUGUAUCUAAAUUAUAUACAGAAGGAAGAAGAGACAAGAUAAGAACUGCUUCUUAGUCACGUAGGUGUGGACUACAUAACAACAAAGUUAUGGUUAAGUAGUCACUGACUUUUUAGGUGUGGGCCCCUCUUUUGUCCAAAAGUUAGUUUGAUAGGAUUUUGGCAGAAUGCAGGAUUGUUAUGAGGUUGAGAAGUUCAUGGAACUUCCGCAGUUCCUUGAGCUUGAAUCUGACAUGUUAGAUAAGCUUGUUGGUCAACAUGAUAGAAAAUAAGGGAAACUGAAAAACCUAAAUUUUUCUUUUUCUAAAUAAAUUUAUUAUAUCAGAAGGGAUAACAACAUGGAUAAACCUAUACAAGGAGAUAAUGACUCUUUCAAAGAUUUCUUGCAGUCAUGUGCCUGAAGAGAAUAUGAAUGAUUAGUUUGCAGUCUGAAUACCGUUUGUUUAUUAUAAGAUGUGCCUUUUAUUUUUCUGCAUCCUCUUGAGGCCUGCACCUUGACAUCACCUUUUCUUGUAGUACACCUUUUGAGGGCUCUCAGAUAGUCGUUAUUUGUUAUGUUGGUUACUUCCCAAGUGUGUAACAAGUUUGUGUGAUGUUAACCUUAUGAAGAUAAAUGCAUUAGUUUUCUAUGAAAAAAGAAGUGCUUUUGGUUUUAUGUAGGAUGUAAGUGGGAUAAGAUUUCAGUGCUUAUUUAGGGCACAGGAAUACAUUCCUCAAAGAUGUUUAUGUUUUCAGCAAUAUGAGUUGAUGUACCUCGACAUGGAGUCUGAUGGUUGCUUCCUUCCUAGGGCUGCAAUCCAUAUGAUUAGCAUUGACAGAAUUUUUCUUUUUUCUUCCUGGUGUAUAUGCUGUUAAUAUUUGAAUAUAGAAGUUGGGCCAAACAGAAUUGUGUAUCUACAAAUAUUCUUGUCCGGCUGUGCUUCCACUUGAAAGUGCAACUUUUAGUCUUAUUGCAAAGAAUAUAAUGAUUCACCUUUUCCUGAAUUAUGCUAUUAACUUUUUUAAUUAUCUGGGCUUCUCAGAGAACUUGAUUAUGAUGCUAUAUCUGAAGAUAAUCGCUAUAAUGAAGCAAGAAGAAGAUCGCAUGAACGGAAACAUUACUUAGAUAAGGAGCCCAUUAGAAGCUGCUCUGACAGUGACAGCCAGAGGAUACACAAGAAAGACCCACUUGAGAAACAUCAUAGCCCAUCCCAUCGAAGGCCAGGAUUCAAUUCAGAUGAAGAAAUUUACUCAGCUGAUCUGAAACACAAGGAGUCAUAUGCAUCAGUUUCUAGAAGAAAUCAAAGGUCGCAUUACUCUGAGAAAUCAAAAUCUGAAAGGCAGGAUGCAUCUAACAGCUCCAACUGGCAUAGUAGAGACAGGAGAAAACAUAAGCAUAGAAGUUCUAAAAAAACACAGUGAAAAAAGAGGUCAAUGUAGCAGUGAUUAUGGCCGAAGAAGUCAUCAUCGGAAUCAGAAAGAGGUACCUGAUGAUCUUGAGAAGGAUUUGAAAGAUCCUCACAGACACAGUUGCAAGCAUCAUAAUCACUCAGAAAACGGUUUGGAACCAGAUCUCUCGAGUGGCCGGAGACAACUCAUCAAGGAGAAAGAAUCCAGUCAUAGUUCCAGGCACUCCAAGUCAAAGGUAAAUUUGAGAGAUGACCAGUUGGAGGUUGACAGAUGGGAGAUGGUUGAUAGUUCAGAUGAGGAUUACAGAGGAGAGAAUUAUCACCAUAAGCGGAAGAGAACCCACUAAAUCUUGGGAAUUUUCUGUUAUUUUAUGGGCACAUCUUACUAACACCAUCAAGGGAGUGGCUUGUAUCAUACAGCUGGAGAUGUGCAGUAUCACAGCCACAACAAACAUAUCAUCGAAGGUAAAUGUAUAUAUUGGAACCUGAUUUUUUCUGUUUAUUGUGACAAUUGAUCUAGUACCUACCAUUUUCCUUUAAUUUUAACUCGAGAUAUUUGUACAAAGUUAUAUGUUAUUUUCUUUUGCUAAAAUACAGGAUAUAGUUGAUGUCCAAUGAUUUGGGAAGAUCAAGAUCUGAUGUGAUUUGAAAUGUUGAUUUUGUUGAUACAGAUUGGGAAAGACCUGAUGGGCAUUUGACAAUAACAUUUAUUAAUAUCUGCGAUUCUAACAAUUUCUUUAUGUUGAUUUUAAGGGAUCGUGGUCUUUUUAGAAAAAUGUUUUACCCCUUGUAAAAGGUUGAAGCUUUCGAUGAGUAGUGAGCAUAGCCCAGUACUAUCAGGGGAUUGAAGUUGGCUAAGGUAUGCACUCAAUAACUUAGAGACCAGUUUGUAUUCAGUUGCAUCUUCUUUACCUAGAUGGGGAAGACCCCAGCAAUGCCAAUCAUGUGGUUUUAUAUCAUGAGGAGGUUUUAAGAAUAUCAAGGUUUUUAAAAACAUCUUCAAAAGUCAUAUAACCUGCAUCUUUAAAACUACAUAAAAUAAUCACGGUUCUCCUGUGCAAUGCAAGAAUUACUCAAACCAGCUCGGAUCAGCCAAAAUAACACCCAGAAUUGUGGCAGAUAAGACUGGCCUAAAUCUAUCAGGUUUCUUCCUGAAUCAACUGACUUUUUAAAGGUUUAAUCAAUUGGUUGAGUUUUUAAAGAUUGACCAACCCAAUUAUGUUGAUUACAAAACCUACAUCUUCUAUGAAUUAGGUAUGUGCUUUUAUGGCAGCUUUUCAAUCAAAAAUCCCAUUUUUUAAAAAAUGUAGAUUUUUUAUAGGCACUAUUUGUAAAUGUAUACCCUAGGUCAGUUUCCUCUAUAAUUUUUUAUAUUUAAAUGCUUUCCUGAUGUUAGCAUUUGCUUCUCGGCGGUCUCUUUUAACAAACAAAUUAUGUAUAUAUUAAGGAAAUUAAAAAACACUGUGGUUGUUUUCUUGAGACUAGUUUAUAUACCUUUAUUUUUGUUGGUUUCAUUUAGAUAAUAAUAUCCACAAACCAGUUCUGCUAUUGAACUUAAUGCUAUACCAGAAUCCACAGAUCGUUAUAUCUUUUUUCUGGAAUGAUGAUCUGCUGAUGGAAUCUUAAUUUGUUGUUUAUGGUCUGAUUCGACUUUUAUCCUAAUGAUUAAUUUGUCCUAAUUUGUUGUUUUGGUCCUGAUUCUACAUGUUAUUUUUGUUCCAAGUUUUGAAUCUUGAAAAUAAUAUAUGAAUGAUCUGUUUUUUUUUCUUUUCUUGUGGAAGCAGCUCUCGACAAGUAAAUCCAGAGAUAAUUGCUAUGCUACUUGUAAACCCAUCUGCACAUAUAAUUUGUUUAAGAUAAUAAAGGAGGAGAUUGGAAGAACAAGUGAUUUUUAAGAGCAAAACUUAUGUAUGCAAGCUUAAUGAGUGUUGUUGGAUUGAAAGUAAAUAUUGUUGUGUGAAGGUUCUGCGAAAACAAGUCUGAAAGAUUGCCUUCCUGCUAGUUAAAUUGCAGGAACCUCUAACUCGAAAACAGUUUUGUCCAAGGUUUUAAAAUCAAGAUACUAGCUAACACUCGUUGUGUGUGCGCAGGCAUGUUGUGCGCGCGCGCUGUGCCGUGUGCGUGCGCGCGCGCGCGCUGUGCCGUGUGCGUGUGCGUGUGUUGUGUGUGCGCAUGCCUGCGUCCGCAUGCGUGUGCGUGUCCUUGCACACGCACAUGCUUGUUGAAAUCUUUUAUGGUCAUAACAAAUGAAAUUGAUUUAUUUCCAUGAACGUGCAUGUGCGUGUUGAAAUCUUUUUAUGGAUGUAACAAAUGAAAUUGAUUUAUUUCCAUGAAUUUCAUCAACUUAUUGAUUUGUUAAAUGAAUUUAAUUGCUAAAUAAUGUUUUUUCUUUUUUAUUUUAGCUGCUAUUCUUAAUCAUCCUUGUCUCUCCCAUGUUUGCUAUUUCUGCCUAAAUUUGCUUGCUCUUAUUUUUAUGACUUCUUUGCAUUACAUGGUAAUUAUAGUUUCUGUUUCACAAAAUCAUUCCUGAAUACCAAAUCUAUCAUUUUUAUCCUUGUUUUUCUCUACUUUUAGUAGUAGAGUGUCGUUAAAGACAUUGUUCAAUUCUCUUUGGACUCCCAUAAUGAUAGGAUGAGAACCAUCAGCAAAGUGAAUUGCCCGGGUAUUGCAGGGAUUUUUGCUAGGGUAAGCCAGGGAAUAGAUGUAGGAGAGAGGGGAGAGGACAUGUGAGGUUUUUGUUAUCUUGCUGAGCACUCAAUGGUGACAUUCUCAACAAUUUCUGGCCUCAAAAGGUGUAUGCUAUUUGGUGACUUGGUCUUGACACUACACCUUUAGGGCAUGUUUGAUUGGGGGAAGUUGGACUCUAAAAUGGAAAUAGAAAUGAGUCUCUCAUUCUAGCUGUUAAUUAGAGGAGUCUAAUUCCUAUUCCGAUUUUAUGGAGUAAUGGAGGAUAGCCCUAAUCCUCCAAAACUUAAUCUGUACUCUCUCUUAGAAUUUAAAUCUCAUUCUGAUUCCAAUUCUGGUCACGAACUGAAUGCAUUGAAGGAUGUGGCUGUUCUGAUUUUCAUUCCGAUUCCGUUUCCAGUAGCAUACCAAAUGUAUCCUAAAAGCCCAUGGACUGUCAGCAACAUUUUCGUGGCCAUAGAGAAUAAUAUCAGCUGGCUUUUGCUGAUUUUACUAUCUAGAUAGCAACACCAGGUGGUUGUAUCUGCUGUCCAUUCUUGGGGACCACAAGAGAAGAGGGGGAGGGUUGUCUUCAAUUUUCUAUGUUAAAAAUGGAAAUUUGAUCCAGAGGAAAUGCAUUGCGGUAGCUGUGGGAAGAGCAGCAGCAUCAGGUAUAUUGAGGAUAGCUAUACAAAUCUUACAGCUGUUUCUAUUUAAUGCAUGCUUCAACUGAAACAAGAGGUAUUUAUAUCUGAAUUUAUAUAUCGGUUUGUUCUCGUAUCGUGGCCUAUUUAUAUGAUGUGCUUGAUCUUGAAAUAUCUGCUGAUUCAUCUUUGGUCAUCUUUGGUCAAUAUGCGGUCCGUUUAAGAAUGGGCACUUAAUAUUCUGAAUAUCUGAUGAUAUUUUUAAAGUGAAACUAAUAAAUGCCUUUUGUAUUGAUCAUAAUAUAUUGACUAAAUGAAAAAUCUCCCAAUGAUACAAUAAGCGGGUUUAAAAGUCUGAGUUCAAACAUUGAUAUCACAUAAUUCAACAUUUUGGUAUAUUCAUUUCUACUGGCUAAGAUAUAUUUAGCUGGUAUCAGUAUGAACUGCACUGUUGAUUGCUUGAUGCGCCAUAAACUUAGGACGAAAAUCAUGGAAAGUGCGAAUAAACUCUAUCAGGUACCUGCAGCUACCUAGAGCUGCAGUUCUGAUGUCCAAAGAUUACUUGCUGGGCAAUGUGGUGUUUUAGCCCAAUGUGGUGUUGCAUCAAACUCUGGUUGUGAUUGAUCUAUAUAGGUAAAAUACAUCAUAGAAACUAGUGAUUUUCCAUGAUUGUUGGACUAAUGGAAUGUGAAUGACCGGGGAAGCAACUCUCGUUCAAGCUUUAAAUUAAUGUCAGGACAUGGAGAUCUUUGUUUGGAUGAUAUGCCAAUUUCUUGGUCACCAACACCCCUGUAAGAAAACUUCGGCACUAGAACCGUAUGACCAUUGACCAGGGGAACUUUUACCUACCAUGUUCGCUAGUCUCGAGCUUCACUCAAUCAGCUCUCAUAUUUCGUCAGUGAGAUAUCACCUAAUCAUGGUGUUCAUUAGUGAGGCUACUCAGCGGGGUGGCAGUGGUUUCAUAAAACAUGACUUUUUUAUAAGAUAGAAUUACAACAAGGUUUGCUAGCUGCUGGAAACUCAAAGGUGGCCUUUGCGGUGGUUUUAAGCCAUGGUGUUAUGACCCUCUAUUAUUGAGGUAAAUAAUAAAAAAAUAAGAUUUUUUUUGUAUGUAUAUGCUUCUAAAUAUAUGAAAUUGUAUGAAUAUCUUCGUAAAAUUAUUAUUUGCAUGUAUGUGUGUGUAUAUAUAUAUAUAUGUAUAUAUAUAUAUAUAUAUGUAUAUAUAUGUAUAUAUAUAUAUAUNNNNNNNNNNNNNNNNNNNNAUAUAUAUAUAUAUAUAUAUAUAUAUAUGUAUAUAUAUAUAUAUGUAUAUAUAUAUAUAUAUAUAUUAUAUAUAUAUAUAUGUAUAUUCAUACGUAUCCGUACUAUCUAACAUCAAUUAAAAAAAAAAUAAACGGCUUAAAAUUAAAAUGACUGAAAUACUUUUAUGGAUAGAUAUGGAAAAAAAAAUAUAAGGGUAUACAUGUAAAUAAAAACUUUACAAGGAUAUUUAUAUAAUUUUUUAUAUUUAAAAGAGUAUAUAUUUAUAAAAUUUAUUUAAAAAAUGGCGGAAAUUUGCUAAGUUUUUUAUAAUUCAGUUGGAACAACAAGUCAAAAAAAUAUUGAGCUAUAUUAUUAUUUUUUUUUAAAAUUAUAACUUGAUCAAGUUGGAAUAUUGGAUGAUCAUUUUGGUAAUACUAUUCUCCAUUUAAUUUUGAUAUAAUUAUCAUUAUUUAAUAUAUGGCACUUAUAUAUUUUUUAUUUUUUUAAAAGAUUAAAGCAUAUCAAAUUUAAAUUAACUAUAGAUGUUUGGAUUAGUAAAAUAUUUUUUAGUGAUUUGUAAAUAUUGAGUUGUUAUUUGUUUUUGAGGCAAGAAUUUCGUAAAAAACACAUGAUUCAUUCUUUAAGAGUUGAUAUUAACAUGAAACUAUGUGAUAUAAUAAUAUUAUUAUUUUUAUUUUUUAUUAAGAACAACAAAAUUAUCUUUAGUAAAUUUUGAUUAUUUUUUUGGAUUUUUUUAAGUAUAUACUUUUCUAAAUAUGUGUAAUUGCAUGAAUACUCUUGUAAAGUUGUUAUUUGCAUAUAUAUUCUUAUAAAGUUUUUUUUGCCCGUCUACCUGUAAGGAUAUUUCGAUCAUUUCAAGUUUAAAUUGUUUAUUUUUAACGUUGUUAAAUGGUAUGCGUACAUAUAUAAAAAAGAAAAAAAAGGAAAGGUAUCCAUGUAAAAUAAAUAUUUUAUGAGGGUAUACAUGGAAAUAGUAAUUUUUUAUGUGGGUAUUAAUAUAAUUUUGUAUAUUUUAAAAGAUAUACAUGCAAAAAAAUAAAAAUAUAAUAGUUGUUACUUUUUUUUAUUAUUAUAAUGAAUAACAUAGAGACCUUCACUUUCGCUCAUACUUUUUUUUAAAUAAAAUAAUAUUUGUUUCAAAUCUCAAAUUUUUUUUUCCUUUAAAAUGACAGAGAGACUGUCAUAGUUUUAAAUAAUAGUCCAAAAGUAUGUAUAAUUUUAUCUAAAAAAGCAAAGGAAAAGAUAAUACUGUUAUUUUCAUUAUUGCCUGUUAUUUUUCGUUGUAGCGCCAUUUAUAAUAGCAAUUAUUUCAAUGAUUUUUUCAUAUUAAAAUAUUGAAAAUUUAUUUUCUGAGAUAAAUAUUAGUCACCAAUAACGGGUAACAACAAUUUCAGGCAGAGCAUCAUAACAUGAUAAUGUAUUAUUUAAAACUAUGGUGAAAGCUUAAGUCAUUUCAUUCUUGAGUGUAAUUCAGACAAUUUAGUAGAAACUUUGACUUGCUGCUUAUUUGUCUUGUGGGAAUUGAUAAAUGACUCCCAUGUCCUAAUUUUCUUUGCAAUCUUGCAGGAACUAAUAAAUAACUCUUAACUUUGUUUUUGACUUGUAUGAUAUGUGAUUCCAAUGAAUGUCUAUCAAGAAGCAAAUGGUGCGGUUGGUUGAGUCGUGGCUUAUAUAACUAAUCCUAUAGAAACUAUAUCAUGGAACUCUAGUUUUACAGCUAUAACCCAUCUUUUAAAUAUUUUGUACGCCUACUCUCAUGGUUGUAUUUACUCUAGGAUUGGAUAAUGCAUCCUGCUUACCAAAAAAAAUAUGAAAAACAUUUCGAACAUCAAAGCAUGGCAUAUGCUUGAGCAAGCAUGAUGCAAAUGAAAACUUAUUAUCGACUCAACCAACGUCCUCGUUUUGAUUGAACUUCGAAGCCUGAUGAUUUUUGGCUGAUUUGUCCACACACGAGCAUGAUAUGAACAAUUGGGAAGACAUACAGCAGCAGCAUGAUGCAAACCUUUUGGAACUUAUUCUUGGAGGACAGAAGAAUCGAUUCAAAACCGAAAAAAAAGGUAUUCCUUAUCUGGUUGGUCCCAUGUAAACAUUUUAAAAAAGAUGCAACCAUUUGAGGAUGGCUCAACUGAGCCAUCCGUCGAGCUUAAGCAACAUGCUCUAGAUUACAAGUUUCAAUUCAUCAAAUAUGAGACAAGAUAAAAUAUCAAGUACUUAUAUUUAUCGUGCAAUAUGAGGAAGUGUCUCAUCGGUUUAAGGUUACGGAUAAUACAAAAGACAGUACCAACCAAGCUAGGAAAAAAUAUCCCACAAGCUUUGUUGGCCCCUCAUCUUCCGGUUCCUGAAUUAAUGAAUCAAACAUACUAAGAGAGUUAAGAAGAAUAAGGCAGAUUGAAAACGGUUAGUGUUAGUCAAAAUAAAUUAUUCAAUAUAUUCUGCAACUUCAUAAAUAACAUGUAUUCGACGGCAAUAGGAAUCUUUUUACGGGCUUUUGAUAAUAAUGGCAAUAGACAGGGGCAAGUAUAAAAGUUAAUCUUUGGUUGUGAGGGGAAAGCUUCAUAGUUCUCCAGCAUAAGAUCAUAUUUUUAAGCUGUAAGGCAAAAAUAGAAGUGAAAGAUACUAGGAUAGAGGUUUCUUCUUCUAUACCCAUUCUUAUAUGAAUGACUAUAAGCUUACUCCCAGUUUCAACUUCCAAGCUUAUGUCAACAUCCCCCAUUAUCAGUCAACACGUCAAGGUAUAUAAUAAGAAGACGGUGAAUGCUCUGGGAGCUAAACUAUUGCCACUUACAGGCAAGUCAGUAACUUGAUUCCAAGUUUCAUAUGGUUGAUCAUAAAGGCAUGAGCGUCCUAACAAUUUAUCUUUCCCCGUACGCAUCCAAGACCAAAUACUUCGAAUCAUAUAAUGUGAUGAGAAGAGAGUUCACGUUAUGUUAUAAUUCUUCUAAACAUUCAUAACAAAUUUGUUCCAGAUGACAGUUACAGAAUAAGUGGAUCUUAUGUAACAAGAACAUUGUUUAUGUCUUUUGAAUAUGUGAUAGCCAGGUCAUAAUGGAGUAACCUUAUUAUUACAUUAACGCCCGUAAAAGAAUAAGUGGUAGAAGAUGAAAUGAAAAAAAUAAAAAAGCAAAAAAAGAAAAAAGAAAAAGUAAGGAAAUGAGAUCUCUGGAUGUUCAAAGUGCAAUUAAAGAAUAUUACCUAGAUGAAGCAAGCAAUGUGGUUAAAUAGAAGUGGUCAAUGAGAUUUGUUGUUGCCGCUCUACACAUUACUCUAAAACAAAUUUCUUCAUCAUACUAUAUUAAUCUGCAAUCUGCAUAUCUAAUUAUCAGAAGGCCUAAGAGUAACUUACUAGCUAUUGCCUAAUUAAACUUGAUGCGAACUUCCGGAUGUUUUGUCGGAUCCUUGCAAGUUUUCCACACCAAACAUCUCUUAAAUCUUAAUUCCUUCCACCACCACCACCACCAAAGACUUACUUCAAUGGAAAUUCCCCUCCAACCAGUUAAAGUCUUCUUUGUUCCAUUUCCCUUGCAAUACACCAUGUCAAUUAUCAUCCAUGCUAUGACUCUGCCAUCGUAUUGCAAUGCACCAAGUGAAGCCUUUUCAUAAACUACUUUCUUAUAUUUCUGGAAAAAUUGGAUAAAAUUUGCAAGCUAUUCACUUUGCCUAAAACAAAAGUAGGUUUGUAAGAGGCCCCCAGCUUGUUAGUCAUGAAUUGAGAGAAUGGUGGAGCUGUGGAGAAAUCUUGGCAAAAGCCUAGAUGAAGAAUUCGAGAGUAAUAGAAAUAGCAAAGGAGAUUGAGUACCAUAGACACCAGGAUAGGAGAGAAUGACGAGAGAAAGUAUCCACUCCCUAGAAGCUUUGAUGGAGAAGCAACGAAAAAUUGGCAGAGAUGGAAAAGGAAAUCCAAGGAGUGGUCAGACCCAGAUGGCGGGGGUCUUCAAACCCAUAUGCACCGGCACCUGGUGUGCCCUAAUGCCUGCCCAUUAAACCCAUGUCAAGCUAAUCUGUCACCAACCAAAUAAAAAGGUAGAAGAGAAAUUUCAGGAUCCUUUUUAAUGGACUAGAUCUAUUGAGUCGAUAUCAUCGGAAGUUUCAUCACCACCUUUUACUAGCAAAUAGCUAAACACAAAAAAAGGAAAAAAGAAGAAGAAAAAAAACUCGUGUUUAGAUAUGUCACGCUUGAUGCUUCAUACUUCAUGAGAUUGAUGAGAGCCAUUGUUUAGUAGGAGAGGCUAGAAGCGAGAUGGAAUUAACCCAUUGACCAACCUUUUUUAUAGUAGGUGAAACAAUCAUAUGAUACGUUUAUAUCAUGUAAGCUGCAAAUUUAGUUCAUGUUAGAUUUCUCAAGCACCUUCUUUUGUGUUUUGUGGCAGAACUAACGAAAUGCAGCAGUGCCUAAUCCCAAACUGUUAGGUGUUAAUUGAUAGGUCUUUGUUUCCUCUUCAGGCUGCUUUAAAUCUGCCAUCGUUAACCACAGCAUAAUUUUACCGCAAAAUUAUAGUUGUGCUAUGAUCUCUCCAAUUCAAAACCUCCCAGCAAGUAAAACGCCUGAUAACGAUCACAAAGAACAAAUUUCCACCACCCCCACCCCCCAACACACACACACACAUUCCAACAAAAAAAAGAGAGGAUAAAGGCUAAAGCUAACACUCCAUAUUAGAUAAUAUAUAUUCUUCAGAAUUUCUCCAACUAAACCUACUUGAUUGCAUGGGGAUUAUGAAGUGUAACAAAGAGAAAAACCGCUACAUACCUGUGGUGGAGGAGAAGGCCAUUUUGGAGUUUGCGUUAUGUCAGCCUCAAAAGGCCAAACAUAUCUAUCUGGGUUCUCAAUUCUAGCCAGACUCCAGUCAUAUAAUCUUCUCUCAUCCUCGGAUGAGAGUAUUCCAUAAGAUUCCUAUGGGUGAGAAAAUUAGGUGAGAGGAGAUCCAAAUCACAAUUUAUAGUACAACAAUACUCACUAGACAUGUGAACAAUUAAAGAUAUUUCUAUAAAAAUAAAGCAACAAACCUUCAAGAGUUCUAGCUCUUUGCUGACUUCUUCUUCAUCCAAUCCUUUAUUUCUCAGUUCUUCACACUUCUUUUCGUAGGCGACCUGAACCUGGUAUACAAGUUACUUUCAUACAUUAAAAAGCUCUCGGAGUUAUUUUGAGGAGAAAAUGAGAAGGAGAAGAAACAUGCUAAAGAACAUAUCUCAAUAUGAAUGCACAUAAGGAACAUGUUUUCCAUGUUCUCUGGCAGCCAGUGGUUGAAUAAGAUAAACUACGUACAUGAUCAGAUUCUGUGCAGCUAACAUUCAGCUACGCCGUGCUUGUGUGUGCACUCACAUUUGUCCAAACUGCUUGAGUAUUAAAACAAAUAUCAGUUAUCGAGAUCAGUAAAAGAAAGCAGAUUAUUUGAGCCUCAGAAGAGUAAUAUAGAGAUACAGAUAUGCACAAUAUUUAGAUGCCACCAUGACUGGAAUUUUAUCUAAGAACCGUGAUGGUCCAACUCAUGAGCAUCUAAUUGAAUAUUCAGAAUAUAGGCUUAAUAAAGAGUAAUGGAAGCAUAAAGCAACAUCCAGGGAUGCAUCAACUUCCAACCCACUAUGUUUUGAAAAAUAAAGACAGAUUUGGAUUCCAAGAAAGAAAUUAUACACACACACACACACACACACACAUAAACAUGUAUGGAUACAUGCAUGCAUGCAUUUUUAAGUAUUUAUAUAUGUAAAUAUCCAUCGUUCUGAGAAGGACCGACAAUGCUUCUGCAAAGCCACGUGGGAUAGGUUGAUGAAAAUCAUUUUGAUUCCAAGAUAUCAGAACAAAGACUGUGUGCAUUUUCGCUUCUAUUGAAAGAAUAGAGGCCAAGGAAAUGUUAAAUAUGCAACGAAAAAGUUAUGGUCAUCAAAGUAUUAAUUUUUGGAAAUAUUAGUCAUGCGUAUGUCUUUCAGAUAUUUUCAGACAAGAUUAAAGAAAAUAUCCAACAUAUCCAACAUAAUCCACUAUUCUACAUAAUCAGUUGAGAGCAGUCAAGGCAGAUGCAAUGAUAAAACACAAACACAGAUUUUACCAAUACAUAUCCAUACUUUGCCCACAAGACAAGAAUUUGUAUGAGUAAUAUAUUUCUUAUCAACAACUCACAAAUCUCUUCUUCCUAUUUGUCUCUCCAAACCAACCAAACUAUUUUUAACAUACAGCAUGAUAAUUUAUUAAGUCAUGCACAUCUCAGGUGCUUAUGCAUAUCAAUACACUCAUUCAGACCCUUCUUUUACUAAAAACAGAGCAGCUUUUGAUCACAACUGCUCAGGAAAAUGCAGACUUUUUUCUCUUUGACCAACUGUCAAUCUAAAGUCAACCAUCUAAAAAUUUUGUGCCAACUCUUUGGCUGAGCCAACUUUAGGCAAAGACUGGCUUCCAUGACACUCCAAAGCACAAAAAAUUCAAGAUAAUUGCUUGGGAUUCAUAUCCUUUAAGACCUAUUUGUUGAGGCUUAUUAUAAGUACCCACCUCAAACUUCUUGUCGCCAUUGUAGUAUAACCAACCCUGGCAUCUGUCAUUCAUUUUAAUUGACGUGUGUUGGGAUUAAGAAAUCGAUCCAAAUUCAUCAAUUUACGGGCUUAUUGACAAAGAAUUAUCUGAUGAAGUAAGUAGCCAACUUUUGGUUCACAAACUUAUAUUUUUCAUUAAAUACAGAACGAUCUAAACCGCAAUUUAUUGCUUUGAGGAAAAAACAAAUAAAAUGGAUACUGAUUAAUUGGAAUCAAUCAUCAAAAAUUUGUAUCUAGUAAAUAUUCAAUCAAUAGAUUUUUAAAAUAUUUACAUAUAAAAAAAAGCACCUUCUUUGAUACAUACAAAACAAAGAGAAAUCCAAACCACAAUUUUUAAUUUUAAGAAAAAAUAACAAGCCGGAGACCUAUGAAUUUGAGCCAUUCAACGAAAACUAGUGUCCAAUAUCUACUCCAUAACUAGAUUGUAUUUCCUUUUAGAAAAAGCCAGCAUAAAAAUGACUUACAAAAAAAAAAAUCUUUUUAUCUCCUCAGCAACAACAGAAUAGUCGAUUUCUUGCUCAAAAUCGCAGAUCUUCCAGUCAAGUCAAAACAAAAAUAUUCCUCAUUUGAUGCACAAACGAAAAUAAGAACAAUAGCAACAAAUAAUUUAUCAAGAACCUCAUCGUAGGAAGUGCCUCUCGCGACCCCCAGCCUCCCGUAAUGAUCGGCAUUCGUAAUCGCUGCCAUCCAAAAUUAGAAAAAAGAAACAAAGAAAACAAGAAAACAUCAUUGAUAAAAAAAAAAAAAAUACAAGAACAAGAAGAAGGCUUAUUCAAGGGGCUUGGAGGGCGACUCACGGAUGCCUCGAAGGGCCUUCUCGACGUUGGAAGAGGAGAUGAGGGACGAGAAGGGCUUGGGGGCCGGGGGAGGAGACGAGGUGGCCGAGGCGGUAUCCUCCUCCUCGGCGGUGCCCGGAGCCGCCUCGGCGGAGCACUGGACGCGGAUGGUGAGAUUCCUCGGCCCCCGGCGUCCACAGUGGGAGGCGAAGGGCCGGGGCGUGGAGAGCUUCGCCGCCGGUGACGGGAAUCCGACGGUUGCCAUUUUAGCUUGGUAUUUUAAAUUUGGGGAGAGGAGACGGAUAAGUUGGGCUAGGAAAUUAAAGAUGUGGGGUGGCCGAGUCGGAUCACUCGCCGGUAGGCAACAACAAUUAAUCCUCCUCUCUUGCCCUGUUAGAAUGUUAGGUAUCAUAGGCAUGGUGGCUAAACUCAACUUUCAAAAUAUACGUUUUGUUUUUUUUUUUUUGGCGAACAACUUUUUUUAAUGAAGAUAGAAAUGAAUCAUGAUUUGAAAAUCAAGACAUUCAAACACA